CGACGGAGAAUCAACCAAUUAAAGGAUCAUAAAUCGAGCCGAGGGAUUCAGUUUUCAGGCGGUGAGCUCCUCUUCCUUGUGGGUCUCGAUGACGAGGUCCGACUGCGGGUAGGCGGCGCAGGUGAGCACCCACCCGGCGGCGACCUGGUCGUCGUCCAGGAAGCUCUGGUCCGACUGGUCCACCUCGCCGGAGACCACCUUGCCGGCGCACGACGAGCAGGAACCAGCCCGGCACGAGUAGGGCAGGUCGAUGCCUUCUUCCUCGGCGUGGUCCAGGAUGUACACGUCGUCGGGGACCUCCAGAUCCACCUCCCCCUCCGGCGUCACCAGCUUCACCUUGUACGUCGCCUGCGCACGAAGCCUCAUGCCCCUCGCCGACGGCGCCGUCAGCGGGAGCACCACACGGGACGAGACGGCCGAGGAAGGUGGAGGGGCGGCUGUGAAGAGGGAGAGGCUGCUCAGCGCGGUGGUCGCCAUUAUUGCAGCUGUGUAAGCUUUCUUGCGAGGAGGAGGAUGGUGUUGGAGAGUGUAUGCAGUAAGCUCUAGCUGGACUGGAGGGGAUGAUGAAGAAGAAGAAGCAGAGGAUGUCCUAGAGGGUGCCACGUGGCCCCUGCAGGUGCUCAGGCUUAUCCUUAAGCUCGGAGCGACCACGGCCACACGAUGAAGGGAUGGACGUCGAUCCACGAGGGCGUGUGGAGGCCAUGCGAUGUAUCCAAUGCGAUUUUGAUCGAUGCACGGCGGCCGUCACAUUUUGGUUUGAGUCAAGCUAGAGAACCUGAUAUGCUGUAAAUUCUUCUAUCUAUAAAUAUUUCGCGACUGGUUUUAGCGAUAGCGAUCAGUCGAUCGAGUGAGUCUAAAUUUCAGUCAGAAAAGAAAAAAAAUCACAAUGAUUUUAGCGAUCAGUCCGUCAUGUGUGACCGGACGAGAAGCCAAGAAGUACACCAGGUUUCACAUUCACAUCAAAAACAGACAAAAAAACUCGAGAUGGAAGCGAUCGUGCCGAGAGUGUGAGCAAAGAUCGCCUUAGUAGACAGUCAGCGGUCUCUCCUCCUCUUGGUCACGCAAAUGGACUUUAAAUUGAGCAGGUCAUGGAAUCCUUCGCUCGGGAACAAUGAACAUGAAAUGCCUUAAAAUUACAAUGCUCCGACCUUCAGUGCAGCUCACCUUUCGUGAGAAGUAAGGCUCCACCAAUCACCGCUGGCGAUGGCACUAGGCAUAUCAUGUCAAGAACAUGUCGAUGAGGCCGGGGAGAAAUGGCAGGACGGACGUCAUGGAGGAGCAGUGGGUGGCGCUAACCCUAGCAACACAAGCUAGGGACAAGGGCAUGUGUAGGCCAUGCGAUGUAUCCUGCGGGGGAGCGAUGGAUGGCCGGCCGGCCAAUGGGGAUGCAUGGUGGCCACCGCAUUUUGGAUCAGUUGAGUGAAGCCACAGAUCUCAUACACUGUUCUGUAAAAAUCUUCUAACCAGAAAUAUUGUUUCGACCGGUGUUAGCGAGAGCGAUCAGUCGACCGAGUGAGUCUAAUUUCAUACAGAGAAUUAUGCAGUUGUUUUUAGCGAGCAAUCAGUCCAUCGUGGCGAUUGGAUGAGAAACAAAGGAGUACAUUGGGCACAAGGUUUGACGUCUAGAUCAGAAACAAUAAAAAAACAUUGAGGUGGAAGCGAUUGGUCUCUCCUCCUCUUAGUUGCACAAGGACUUUAAAUUGAGCAAGCCUUUCAAUGAACAUGAAAUGCCUCGGAAUCACGAUGCUCCUACCUUAAGCGAGAAGCAGCACCAAUCAUUGCUGGCACUGGGUAGAUUGUGUCCAGAACAUGUCCACAAGGCCUAGGAGAAAUGGCAGGCUGGGCAUAAUGGAGGAGUAGUGGCCGGCGCUAACCCUAGCAGCACGUGCAAGGGGAAAGGGUCCGCGGCGGGGAUGCAUGUGGCGUAAGUCGACGGGUCGAGAGAUAUGCGAAGAAAACCUUAAGGAGCACUGAUCAAUCUAGGGAAACCAUGCGGGAUGCCAAUCGAUUCAUAAAAAAAAACGUGUGGUGGGUGCCGAUAGAACUAGGGUAAACCGUGCGGGAGGGUUGCCAAUCAAUCUAGGAAAAAUUGUAGCGGGAAGCAUGCGAGGGGUUCGGAACGAUGUAGAAAAAGCCAUGUUUUUUUUCUGAAAAAAGAAGAGGGGAUAAGCUCAUUGUACCAAGAGAAAAUUGAACUCGCAUCACUAACUCGCAUCACUACUUCGUAGCUAGUAAAAAUACCAUCAUUGCAGAGACACAUCACACACCUGCUGGCUCAACCAUCAAAUCCAUUAAUUUCAGUACGUACAUAAAUACUAGCAGCAGCAGCAGUAAUUUGACCGUAUGGAUCGAUCUCAGGCAGGGGUAGUACAAAAAAGAGGAACACAUAAUAUUACUUGAGCAUUUCAUUCAAGCUCGCUCGCACAGCAGCAACCAAAUCGAUGCACGAUAAGAUCCAUGGAGCUUAGAGAGAUUAUGAUAUCAUCAGACACUCUUGCAAAAGCUGAAGACUAAAAACUUAGGCGGUGAGCUCUUCUUCCUUGUGCGUCUCGAUGACGAGGUCGGACUUGGGGUAUGCGUGGCAGGUGAGCACCCACCCGGCCUCCAUCUGGUCGUCGUCGAGGAAGCUCUGGUCCGACUGGUCCACCUCGCCGGAGAUCACCUUGCCGGCGCACGACGAGCACGACCCGGCCCUGCACGAGUAGGGCAGGUCGAUCCCUUCUUCCUCGAAGUGGUCAAGGAUGUACACGUCGUCGGGGACCUCCAUCUCCACCUCCCCCUCCGGCGUCACCAGCUUCACCUUGUACGUCGCCUGAGCACGGAGCCGGAUGGCCCUCGCCGACGGCGUCAGGGGAAGCGCCACGCGGGAUGGGGCGACGAUUGGGGACGGCGCGGGGGCGGCGGAUGUGAAGAGGGAGAAGGGCGCGCGGAGGCUGCUCAGGGCGGUCGCCAUUGCUGCUGAGAGCUGAGAGCUUGCUUGCUUGCUUGUGUGGUGUGAGGAAGAAGAAGGAGGAUGAGCUAGGGGAUGGAUGAAGAGGGGGGAUAAGUAAGUAAAGGGGGGGGCUGUGUGCCACGUGGCGGGACGUGGGUGGGGGGCUUAUCUUGGAGCGAGGAGCGUCACACGAUGCUCAUCCUCGUCGGCGCCGGGGGGCGUGUGGCUGCCCGGCGACAUCCCGUGAUCUCUCUCGCUUUCUCUUUUUUUUUUGACAAAGAAGGCAGCCUAGUUUCUGCUGGGCCUUUUCCGGCCCAAUUACUAACUAACUACUUCGGUUGCUCGGCUUUCCUUCCAGGCCCGCUAAGCGAAGCCGACGGCAGAUGCAGCCGUGGGCUGGCCGGGGAAUAUGCCGAGUUUUGGGCGGGUUAUUUUUUUUUCCUUUGAUGCGAAUAUGCCUUUUUUUUUUCUUGCAACAAGUCUGAACUUUUAUUUCUACGGACAAGUCUUGUAACUAGUACACGCGGAGAGACUUUUUUGAGUUUUGACGCGAGUUUCUGUUUGACUGACUUGUUCUCUGCGUCCAUUCGAUUUAAUUUAUCGAGACUUUUUCUGUGACAGCUAAAUAUCGAGACUUUGUUGCGGGGUUCUUUUUCGUACCAUUGCUUUCCACGCAUUUAUUAAUUUAUGUGAAUGGAGAAAACGUCUUAAAUCUAUAAUAUCUAUAAAGUUGAUCUUCACUAUUUUUGUUUGCAAGCUUGACAUAUAAGAUGUCUACAUCAUACGCAUGCAUAGUCUCCACAUCACCAUCCACAUCAUGUGUUGUAAAUCACUAGGAAUCCAUUUUGGUGGUCUUUUUGAAUGUCAUAUUUUGAUACUUAGGAUUGUCAACUUAACGUUCUAUAUAAAUAUUUCGCCAAAUACACAUAUUUUCAUGACAUUAUCAAUCUUUUUAAGAUCUGCAAACACACAUAUUUUGAUGUUCAUGUACAUCAAAAUUAUUCCUAUUGUUUUGCUCCAUAGGUGUUAUGAAUGAUAAAAUCAUUUUGUCCUACAAUAUUUAUAUUUCUUUUGCAUUUAACCAUAUUAUUAUCAUGUGUUCCUAACGUCAUAUCCAGAUGUGCAUCUAGAACUUUCCGCGGCAACGCGCGGGGAUCACCUAGUUAUUACUGUUUGCAAUCCAUAUAUAAAGCGAAGAUAUAUAAAGCAAAAAAAAAACAUCACCUAGUUAUUACUGUUUGCGGGGAUCCACACCGUAAUAAUAACCUAAACGAACAUAUAUAACAAUCCAUGUGGGCAGAAAAAAACAUACAUGAGACAUAUAUAAAGCGACGUCAUCAGCUAUCUACUCCAAUUAUCCAACUGUUAAUCUGCUACCUAGAUCGCUUACAUAUGCAGGCCGUUGCAUGUGCCGUGCUAUAUCACGAAGAUCCAAGACAUAAUACGUGAUCUAGACAGACAUGUAGCUGCUCUCUGUCCUUUCUUACUGAUCAAGGAACAUUUAUAAAAUUAAAAUGUUCUCAUCAGUUCCUGCUGAUUGUCUUGAGACAUUAGCAACCGGUUAAUGAUAAAGAAUGGAAAUCAACGGGGGUCGUCAUCAGAUGCAGAAUCUCUUGUAUGCUUAGCUUGUGGAUUACUACUGUAAUAAAUGCGCGUGGCGUAAAGUUUGCACCAAAUCACACAGCGACAAACGGUCAGACAUUGCGUACAUGCAUCCAUGUAUCCCUUCAUUUGACCACAUAAAGCAGUAUUACCUCCGUCCAAUAAUAACGGGGUGUAUUAGCUUUCCUUUGAUCUAUGGUUUGACCACAAAUUAUUCUAAUAAUAUAUAAUUAUAAGGCGUAAGUUGAUAUCCAUUAUAUUUCUAUUCAACGAUAUUUGAUUAUGGUUAUGACUUUGAUCACAUUAGUCACAUAUUAAUAGAGUAAUUUGUGAUCAAAGGCGAAGUACUACAACAGCUAAUACACACUUAUGUUUAAUUAAUUAAAACAGACUUGAUGCUUCCCCUCUACACUUUUCCCCCUGAUUAGUUCCAGCUGCUCCUUCCGAGUAAUUCAAAUACAUCUGCUGUAGUUACCGUUCCUCGCUAUUUGGAUUGAUCGAUUGACUGAUUGAUUAAGGUGUGUGCACGUAAGAAGGUCAAUUAAUUGAUUAACUGACUAAGAUCCGUGUGUUUUGGUCUAGCCAUGCAUGAUUUUCACUUUGCUUGCAAGCAAGCAGAUAGCUAGCUAGGCAGUAUUUCGUGCCUCCCAUGCCAUGCAUCUUGGUUUUCCCAGGCCAAAAAACUGUCUGUCUGUCCGUCUGUCAGGCAGCAAGGGGAAUGGUCGAAUAUUGAACCGGUCAUGCACGGGGUAACUGACGACGCUAGAACACGCAGUAUAUCGUACCACGCACGUCUGCUUCUUCUAUUUUGACAAAAAAUAGCAAAGAUAUUUCUUGUUUUUCCCCUCUUCUCAUUCAUGUUUUCUUGGCAUGCUCUUUCUUUUGGUAUGUGGCAAUAAUGAGCUUAUCCGAGUUAGGAUAAGGUUAGCACAGCCACAAUAUUAAUCAAUACUAUUAGUAUAUCGUCUGGUAGUAAUGUGUUGUUAAGUCAUGAUGGUGGAGAACAACAACACACGCUUUGUUAGUUAGAAUGGCCAGCCAGCUAGCUCAGUUGAAUGCCCUUCAAUCUAUGAUUGAUUUGCGUAUGCAUAUUUCUGUUGAAGCCGUCAUAUAUAUGGCGUGGCAGCUGCAUAUGCAAGAGCUAGUGUCCAACAAACAAGAACCAACCAGACCCAAAGCGUGUCGGCGCCGAUAGCCCGUUCUGCCGUUCCCUUGCGUGGCACGACACGGUAACCAAUCAAAAUCCAUAUCAUUUUUUCCUUUCUCAUAAAAAAUGUCUAGUACAGUCGCAAAAAAAAUAAAUGUUUAGUGCUAUAUACUCCUACUCCUUCCUAAAUAUCAUAAGUUUUUCCUACUAAGUUAUAGUUUUGUCUGUCUUAAAUCAAACUUCUUCAAGUUAUAUAUCUUCAUAGUAUGUCCAUUUAAUAUUGUUGAUCUCAGUAGAUUUUAUUUAACUUAGAACGACACGGACACAAUUUCUUAUACUCGUAGUACUAGUACUAUUUGGGAACGAAGCUGGUACUUAGAGUAUUUUUUUUUCGUGAUUCAAGUAUUUUUAUUGAGUGCCUUAAUGAACUCCAUUUUUCAUUUUCGACUCCGAUGUGGCAUGGGCUUUGCCGCAAGAAAAAAAAACAUCGAAAAAAUGGAAAAAAAGAAAGGAAAAGGAAACGGUAAAGUGUGAAAAGGUUUUAAAAAUGCCAGCGUGGGGUCCACCCAGUUUGAGGUUGACGACGACAAGUAGUUGCAGCAGCAGAGGAGUAUUUCUUUCUCCCUUCCGUGCGCCCAAAUUUCUCCUCUCCCCCCUUCCUUCCUGCUCUCUCUUCUUCGCCAUUCGGGACCUCUUUCUUCUCCAAUCUCGCUACUAACUCCUCUCCGAUCAACCGGUCCAGAGACGGAGGCGCAGCAGACGCACCGAGGUAACACGGAGAUCCAUCCCGCCCAACCAUCUUCUCCUGCCCCCCCUCUCAUGAUUUCUGGUGUUUCUGUUGGUUGUUCUUGUUAUGGGAUUGGAUUCGGUUGGAGCUUGGAAGAACACGCGCGCCGUACAUGCAUUCGGCAACGACAGCGGGGGUUUAUUUCCGAUUUCAAGACCCAAGAACGGAUUUUUGGGACGGAUUUGGGGAUUGGGAUGUUUCUGUCUUCCGUGCCGUCGACUCCCGCCCACCUCUGUUGACUUGGACCUCCGGCCCUUUAAUUUUUUUAUUUUAGGAUUUUUGUUCGGGGGAUUUGUUCUUGUAGUAGUACUAGCUCUUUAUUUUUUUUGGAUCAUUGGGAUUUGGAAGGGACAGCCUGGCCUUCGGGUUGAUCGCCAACGCCCCCGCCUUCGAUUUCACCAACCUUCUUCUUCUUGUUGGUGCGAUUCAAGUUUCAGGCUCCCGAUUUGCUCAGCGUUUCUGACCAUCUGCGCCUCGAUUUGCUAGGUCAAUGCUUGCUCGAUUCCAACCUUCGUGAGCAGUAGUGAUCAAUGGAUGCAUCCCAUUUUCUUUCUCUUUCAAAUUUGUUGACUUGGGAUUUUACUCUAUCUUUUGUUCUCCUGUCGGUUGGUUGGUUUGCUUGUAUUGACCCAGUAAUGGAUGGAUACUAAUGGCGUGCUGCUUGGCUGAACUGGUCAGGCGAAGGCGACCGCCAACCACCCCGGAGGAGAUCUGAGACCCGACCGACCGCCGCCUGCUGGAGGGGGAAGCUGGUGGAGCAGCAGGAAGGGCCGUAUGCUUGUCGCAGGCCAUGUGCCCGGACAUGAAUCCGCGCCAUACAGCAAGGUAGUCUAGUGUUUGAUUCCAGGAAUAUCGCCAUACUGUGUUAUGAAUUUUGUGUCCCAAUUCAUAGUCAUAGGUUCCAUGGGAUGCUCAGGAAGGGCUCUGUAUCAAUGAAAUUUCCUGUAUCAAUAAGCCAAUUGUAGUCUCGGACACCUGGUAUAUGCAGAACCAGAAACUUGCUUAGCCUUUAAUUCAUUAGUGUCGUCUGUUAAACAAUGGAAUGGAAGUUCCUUUAGUUUUCUGGUUUCUGGUCUUGCACGCCUGAAACGUCGGUCAACUCUUCGACACUAACCUGAUGCUGUGUUUGGGUAAACCUGAAUGAAGAUAUUUUGUUUAUUUCUCCGGUCACCUAACCCUGUGGAUAUUUGAUUUUGGACAACCUGGUUUGGUAGAGAAGUGCCCUUGAGGCAAGGGAACUUCCUCAUCAGAUAUUUGUGUCUUUGACUGUGUCUGUGUUUUCUAAAUCCCAUUCUGACCCGGUCUUCUUUUCGUACUGGCAGUCAAGUUGAAUCAGAGGUUCUAGACGGUAAUCGUAACCAUCACAGCCAGCUUGAUGCUGAUCAUCUUGUACAAAUUGGGAGGAGUCCUAUCAAGCGUGGUAGCAACAAUCUGUCCACAGACGACAAUUUCUCCUCGAGUGCCUCUUUGCAUAAACAUGAACAUGUGAGCUCCGAUCCAUCGGCCCCUAAGGCCGAUGACCGCUCAAUUAAGUCUGGUGAUGAUUCUGAUGGGGCUGAGAGUACCAAUGGCAAAAGCAACAAUACGGACUCCCCAGGUACUGAAAAUGAUAGCAUCUGGAUACCACCUGAAGCUGCAGACAAGGGAGAUGAGACCGAGAGUAACAUUGCUUAUGAUGACGACGAUGACGAUUAUGGUGAUGGAAUCAAGUGGGGCCAGUCAAGUUUCCCAGCCGCUGGUGAGGAACACGAGGCCAGCCCCAAUCCUAAGGAUGAGCGAGAAAAUGCAAUGUUGGAAGCUAUGAAUGGACAACUCAAGAUACUCGUGAGUCGGUUUUUGGCCUCUGCUGGUAUCCCCUUUGGAAAAGGAGAGAGUAGUGAGAGUUGGCUCGAUAUUGUGACCUCCCUGUCGUGGGAAGCUGCACUACUUAUCAAACCUGAUUCUACCAUCGGAAAGGAAAUGGACCCUGGCUCUUAUAUCAAGGUCAAAUGUGUAGCAUCUGGUACUCGCUGGCAAAGGUGACACAUUUGUUCACUUAAAGGUUUUUUAAAAUAUAAUGUAUUCUAUCUGCGUGUUUGGUUAUACACGUUCACUUCAUAACCUUGACUGCAGUGAGGUGAUCAAGGGAUUAGUCUUCAAGAAGAACACUGCUCAUAAGCACAUGCCGACCAGUUGUCACAAUCCUAGGCUGCUACUACUGGAAGGAGUCCUGGGGCACUCUGAUGUUGGUUUAUCAUCGUUUAAUUCAAUGAAUCAGGUUGGUCCUUUCAUAUACAUAUGCACAUUGAAUUGUUUAUAGUAAACGCCGUUUAUUUUUGUUGGAUAGAAGAUUAAGACAUCUGUUCCGUGCCUUUAACAAUUAGGAAAAGGACCAUCUGGAGAGGACUAUAAGUAAGGUGAUUGAUAUAUGCAGUCCCAAUGUUAUCAUGGUUGAGAAAACUGUUUCACGAGACAUACAAGAACUUCUAUUAAGACAAGGGUGUACACUAAUUCUUGAUAUGAAGCUCAGCCGGUUGCAAAGAAUUGCACGCUGUACGGGUUCUCCUAUAAUAUCAUUUCCAGAAGUUCUGGAUAAACCGAAGCUGAAGCAGUGUGACUACUUCCAUAUUGAAAAAUUCAUUGAAGAACACAACGAUGCCAGUGAAGGUGGGAAAAGACUGUCUAAAACAUUAAUGUUCUUGGAAGGAUUUCCCAGGCCAUUGGGUUGCACGGUAUGUCUACCUAACUAGUAUUACAUGUAUGAUGCAUUUUAUACAUUUUCAGUUCCAUUCUUAUUUUUUCCCUAAGAUUGUUUAUUUUCCUCCAAAAGCAAAAUAAAUAAACUAUGCCACGGAGUAUUUUUCCUAUGUCUUUUCUUCCCUGAAAUCUCCCCAACCAAAGCAUCCCUUUGUAUGGAAGUGAAAUCCAUAACCAGAAGUUGUUCCAGCUUACUGUGGACAUGUCUAUUACUUCGACCAGUUAUUACUUCUUAAUAGCUGGCUUGUAGACUGUAAUUAAACAUCUUCUCUAUUCGAGUGGUGUGUGGCCAUAAAAUUUUACGGUUUGACUAAUAAGGCAGAGAACCAAGGUGAUUACAACUUGGCAGGAGCUAGAUACACUUAUGGUGCUUUAAAGUAACAAACCUGGUUUUGUUUGUGGUGAGAUCCAUAGUAGUGGUAUGUGCUUUUAUCAAUUAUUACGAUGAGUGAAUACCAAUUGAUAGUGAUAUAUUCCUGCAUAUUAGUUACAUUCCACUGAACAAAUAGUAAGUGACAGACCAAAUUGUGUUUCAUGGAUUGUUAAAUUAUCUGAGUGACAAUGGUUCCUUUCUCAUCCAGAUACUGCUCCGUGGAGCAAAUACUGAAGAAUUGAAGAAAGUCAAGCAAGUCAUGCACUACACAGUCUUUGCAGCAUACCACUUGAUCCUCGAAACGUCUUUCUUUGAAGAUCAGCGGGUAUUCUUAAAUGAUAAAAAUGUUUCCAAAGAAAAUUAUGUCACCGCUAUGGUAGGGCCUUCAGCAAUUGGUGAUGAUACGGCUGUUCUGGGUUGUGCCAUCCCUCCUUCACAUGAUGAUUCUCCAGCACUUAAAUUAUACCAUGCCACUUCUAAUAUCUAUGCGGAUGGGAAGAAAUCUCUCAGUUAUACAAAUGUAGAUGCUCCAGUUUCAAUAACAAACAGCUCUUUGGAUGAACUUGGAGAAGGUGCAAAUGUCCGGCAUAGCUCAACAUCACCCCUUCACACUGGAAGGCUACCACCACCAGUAUCAGGACCAUUAAGAAAAUUUGCUGACAAGUUACAUCGUCAUAAUAUUUAUUUACCUGUCACAUCAUUCCAAGAAACAACUGAUAAUAAAAUAGAAGGCAGGGUUGAAUCUAGGAAAGAGAUGGUUAGUAAUGGAUUUCAUGUUGGGUCAAAGGUGGAAGAGUCUGCAGCUUCCAGUGAAAUUUUGGAUGACACGAAAGAUCUCUUAAAACAAGAAAGGAUCCAAGAAGUAAUGCCAUCAGGUUCUUCUGGGCAUGGCAAACAUGAGGAAUCAUCCGCUAUGGCUGAAGAUGGGGAACAUCACAGCACCAGUAUCAUCAGCAAUGGGAACAUUUCUAACGAAGAUCAAGCCGAUGAUGCACUUGAUUCUGACAGUAUACUGAUUUUGAUGUCUAGCCAAUGCAUCACAAAGCAGAUUAUAUGUCUCCCGAGCCAACUGUGCCGUAUAAAAUACUACGGGAACUUUGAUUUGUCCUUGGGGCGAUAUUUGCAAGACAUUUUGCAGAAUCAGGUAACAACAGUUUACCACUUCUUCGUUUGUUCACACAUUGUUCUUAUUUACACUGAAUAUUAUAUUUUUGUGCUAGUAAUGUACAUUUUAUUUCGGCUCCAUUGAUACUCUUUUUUGCGAUGUUAUUUGGCUCACUAAUAUUUAUUCGUACUAGAAAGCAAGCUGCUCAUCUUGUCAAGAGCCUCCAGAGGCUCACAUAUAUUCUUACACUCAUCAAAAUGGGAAUUUGACUGUUCAAUCAAAGAAUUUGGUGUCCCAACAUCGCUUACCUGGCGAAUCCGAAGGAAAAAUAUGGAUGUGGACUAGAUGCUUGAGAUGUGAACAUGAACAUGGGACAUCUAAAUCGACUCCUAGAGUGUUAAUAUCAUCUGAAGCGCGCAAUCUCUCUUUUGGGAAAUUCCUGGAACUCAGUUUUUCAAGUCACUCCGCAGCGAGAAGGCUAUCCAUAUGUGGGCAUUUGGUGAACAGGGACUGCUUGCGUUUUUUUGGGUACGCUCGAUGUACUUUUCACAUCAAACAAAAUUAUUUUUUGGCUGCCUUUAGAUGUAACUAUUUCUUUAAUGAUAAUUUCUUUUUCUUACUGACUUCAGGUUGGGCUCCAAAGUUGCAAUGUUCCGCUACUCCUCAGUAGAAAUUUACACUACCUGCAAACCACCACCCACCCUCCACUUCGACAACCCUAGCAGACAGAAUUGGUUUGAAAAAGAGAGGAUACAUGUAUGUCUUAAUACUCUCUACCAUUACCAUCUCAUAGUUGUCUCCAGUACAUGCAUAGUAAUACUUUUUUUUUUGCACUUUCAAAGAUUCUUGCUAGAGGUAUGAAACUUUUUUCUGAGGUAGCAACCUUGCUACAACUCUUGAAGAAUCAGCAUCAUGAUGUGACAGCAACCAGUUGUGGCACAUUUGACCCUGUUAAGGACUUCUCUGAACUCGAAGAGUUGUUGAUGAAAGAAAAGGCCGAUUUUGAGGUAGGCAUCCUUGUCUUAAUUUCUUUUAGACUGGAACUUUGUAUGCCAAUGAAUUUGUUAUGUUUAAUUUAUAUUUAUGGGUUACUAUCUUUAUUUUUAUGCAGGAUUCAUUAGUAAAGACAAUCAACCAAAAUGGGAGAUCAUCCUCAUCUGUGCAUGAGCUUCUUAAUAUAAAUUGGUCUUACCAGGAUGUUCUACUUGAACUUUAUGUAUGGGACCGUCGGCUCGACGAACUUUCUAUGUGUAAAUCUGCUGGGCAAGGGAGUGUUGGUAAUAGCAAUAAUCCUAGCGGAACUGCAGACAAGAUUUCUGGGGCCAACUACGAGAUUGACAAGAAAAUUGGUGAACUGACGUGUGAUAGAACUAUGACAGCUGUGAGGUCAGAUGGUACCACUGAUUGCACUGAUUGCACAAGUAACAAUAUUCCCAUUGACCAUCAAUCUGGUGAGACCGCAGCACACUUGCUUGAUGAUAGUCAGGGAGCUGGCAACUCUGAACCUUCUUGCAGUGAAGGUAGUAAAGAUGAAGGAUCUCGAUCUCUCAUUGCUCCUGAUCAAGUAGAGGUAGAGAGCACGCCACAAAACCAAAAAGUACCUUCACUUGAAGUUUCAAGUCAUACAGAGGUCCAGGGUAACGGGGUAGUUGCACAUCCAGUUUCCAAGGAACAAGAGCCUUCAAGCACUCUCCAGAAGUUCAGAAGUACUGAUUGGGAUGACAGUGAUAGAUGGAUUUGGAGUUCAUUUUGUGAGUCUCAACUGGCUUACAGGAAGGACAUUCAAAUGGGAUGUUUGGAGAAAUUUUAUCUUGUUAACCAUUACUCCCCAUCUCACCUCUCCCCCUUGUUUGAAAAACAUGAGGAGGUGGACACUCCUCAGUUCACAGUUGGCCCCGGUGGUAAUAUUUUAUGUGUAUUGGAGCAUGAGGUAUCUAGUAUAAUAGCUCGUGCUCUCGCCAUAUCUGAGGAACGUAGGCAGGAUACCAUAGUCGAGAACGAGACGGGGGAGGGCAGGGUGGAGCAUGGUAAAACGAUGGAGAAAUCCUAUAGCUUUUUCUCUGAAGGUUCUUUUAGCUCGUCACCAUGGUCAUCUAUUGGAUCAUUAGAUUCUGAAGCAAGCUUUUCAUCUUCUAUUUCGUCAUAUCCAUCUGACGACCUCUCUGGUUAUGAUACCUUGCCUUUAUUGUCCUUGGUACACCCAGAAAUCACUGUGAACGGAAAAGUAACUCUCAGAGGCAAAUAUUCGGUUACUAGUAUAUAUUCGAACCAAUUCUACCUUCUUCGAAAGAAGUGCUGCCCAUCUGAGCUUGCAUAUAUUACUUCCUUAAGCCGCUGUAAGAAGUGGGACGCUCAAGGUGGAAAGAGUAAGGCUUUAUUUGCAAAGACAUUGGAUGACAGGUUCAUCAUAAAGCAAAUCAAGAAAACAGAGUUUGAGUCCUUCAUAACAUUUGCCCCUGAUUACUUCAAGCAUGCUUACCAUUCUCUAGACACUGGCAGCCAAACUUGCCUUGCCAAAAUAUUAGGAAUCUAUCAGGUAGGUUUUUUUGACAACUGAUUUCUAUUCGAUUUAUUUCCUGACUUCUAUUGGGUUUUCAUAUGACUUGUUGUUUCAGGUCAAGCAAAUAAGGCAUGGCAAAGAGAUCAAAAUGGAUCUGAUGGUGAUGGAAAAUCUCAUGUUUGGGCACAAUAUUUCACGAAUUUAUGACCUUAAAGGUGCUAUUUUUUCACGACACAUCGCCAAAUCAAAUGACCCUGACACUGUUUACUUGGAUCAAAACUAUGUUGAGGACAUGCGUGUAUCUCCGAUCUAUAUUGGUGGAAGAACGAAGCAUCUUUUGCAGCGUGCAAUCUGGAAUGACACAUCAUUCCUCACUGUAUGUAUAAUGCAUAUCCUAUAUCUGCAGAUAAUCAUGUUUUCAAAUAAAUAUAUGUCCUAACAAAAUUAUUGUACUUGCAGUCAGUUAACGUUAUGGACUAUUCUCUGCUUGUGGGAGUGGACAAAGAAAAGAAUGAACUUGUGUUUGGCAUCAUUGAUUAUUUGAGGCAAUAUACUUGGGACAAACAGCUGGAGACAUGGGUCAAGAGUUCUUUGGUUCGAAAAAAUGUUUCACCGACUGUAAUUUCACCCAAGGAUUACAAGAAAAGGUUUAGAAAGUUCAUGGCCAAGUACUUCCUCACAGUUCCGGAUACUUGGAGUCCCGAGAAUUCUUCUGGGCCAUACAAAUCCUUUGGCCAUAGCAAUAGCAAGUUGGUAGAAGCCGAUAAUGAUGACAACCUGCUUCAGCAUCCAAUUGAAGCUGAGGCAUGUGUCUAGUUCUGUUCAGGCUGGCAUGUGUCUAGGCUAUUCAGGACUCCUCUGACAGUGCUGUUGAAGCCUAUCCAGUCGUCGUCGUUGUUGUUUCUUUGGCUUGUUUUCGCUUUGUAAAAUUGUGUACAUAUGAGGGCCUCACAAUUGACCUUUCCAGAAGUUUGCACCUUUUAGGCAGAUUACUGGGCAAGUGAGGCCCACAGUACAUGUACCUAUACAAAUGUAAAUUGUUGAUUUCACAAUUAUUAUAGUGAAAUUUACAAAAUUGGUAUGAUUUUUUUGGGAUCUACUAGGCUGAAGCCUUUUCUACUUGCUUAAUUAUUUCUUAUAAUGCCUGACACGGCUAACCGUCCAUGUUGGACUUCUGAUCUCUGUUCAAAUUUGAUCAGUUUGAUCCGUAUUUGACUUUCAUUACUCCGCUAUAGUUACAUUCAUGGAAAUGGCCAAUUUAAUGCCUCUUGAUCUUACUGCACACCUUAUGAAGAACAUUUUGUUGUCAGAUGGACAUUGUCUAUUUUGUUGUGUGCACCCAGUCACUACAAUUUUGCAGAUCUGCUGGUAUGAUAUGUACUGCUUACUUUCUUUCAUCAAUCAGUUCCACGUAUUAUUUAAAAUGAGUGAAAUCAAGUUAAACUUGUUUGUUCCAAGUUUGUUCCUUGAAUUUUGUUGUAAUAUGUGUUUAUGCCCCAAUCUCUCUUAUGAUAUCAAGAAACAGAAUAUAAUUUGAUUCCUGUUUGUUUUCAGGAAAUAACUCACUGGGGAGGACACCACUCUUUAUAAGUCCUGCAUCACAUAGUAGCUGCCUGGUGACAUGCCUCAUCUAUGCAGUUGGUCUAUGACUCUAUGUUCUAUACUUUAUUGCUAUAUAACACUUGAUAUUUUAUAUUCUCAGCUUUGACGAGGCAAAUUGUUAGUAGAUCCUAAAAUUAACUAUUUAUUUAAUUUACACAGUACACACUUUGCUGAUAAGGGAUGCUCCAAAGUAAUGCUCCAGUUCCUUUUCUAGAACCACUGGUUAUUUAAAUUGGUGCAUUUUCAGGAGAAUUAUCUAGCAUCCUGUAAUGCAAUUUCUGAUUGAUCAGAUAAUUGAUGGAAAGAACUUUCUGUGUAUUCACUUAGCAGUCUGGCUGAUACUUAACAUCUACUAGUGUGUGCAAUCCAUAGUCUGGACCAUGAACAUCGGCAGGAAGGGAUUCCUGCAAAUGAACAUGUGAGACCUCGGUGAGUUAGUUCAUUUUAAGCUUUCUUAUUUUCUACCCUUGCAAAACUUUGUUGACUAAUCCACAUAACCCUUUGUUGAACUUUAUAGUGCGUAGCACAUUUUUCUGCAGCUAUAAUCUUAUCAUACUAUCUUAUAAAAAUUCCUGAUGAAUGUUAAACAUGUGUUUUUAUCAUUUGGCUGCAUUGGUGGAAUGGUAGAUAGUAACAGUAUACAUUUCCAAGAAAUGUGGUAUUUGAAUAUAGUCCCAUUGAUCUUCCCAAAGAGUUGCAGUGUGUGCGUGCUUCUUUCCGAGAGUCCUAUAUUUGCAUUUAUUUUUCACUGAUUGUUUCAGUGAGUAUGAAACUAUGAAUUCAUAUGCAGUGUCGCUUGUGAAGUUGGCUUUGCAGCAUUUAUCUCAAGACAUUCCUUUUUCCCUGUCAUUUUAUUACUAACGCCGUCCAAACAUAACGAGCACAAUGCAAAACCACCUUCGCCCACUUUUCCAAUUGGAGUUGCUAUUUGUGUCUUAAUACAAUUCUUUUUUUGCUUCCAAAAUGGCACAUAUACUGUUGUUAUAUAUGUGUGUGUUCAUGCUAAACUUUCUAGCUCAUGCCUUGUGAUCAGGAGAUUAUGUGUUGUCACAAUGUGCUUGAGAGACAUUCUUGGGCAUGUCGUGCCACUUGCAUCUUUGUUUUCAUGACUGAUGAAUACACUGGGUUACGUGACAGAUGAACUCAUGUUAGUUUUUCGAGCAGAGUCUACCUCUUGCUCAUUUGCGAGCAGUACUGAUUUGAAUAAAUGAUAGUACAGUACCUCAGAAGUCAGAGCACUGCUUGGAACAGGCGGUAAUUUGCUUCAACUGUAAUCUACACAUAUAGUCACAUCCGCUGAAUCUUACAUAGUUAACUUUUAAACAUGAAUAUAAGAAAUUGUUGACACUUCCUUCCCUAUAGUAGCAAGAGGCAGUAGUCUGCUAUUGUACCAAUCAUCAGUCAAGGAGGUAAUCCACAAGAAUGGGGUUGGCAUGCAUCUCUUUUCUCCUUUUCACUUUUGCAGGAGGGCAUCAAAUACAUUGGCAGUAAGAGUAUGACCAGAGGGAGGACUUUUAGAUCAUUGCAGAGUGGCUCAUCAUGAUUGCGUGGAUUCUAUGCAAGUCUUGUCAUUGAGAGGGAGGUUACAAAAGGAUUGUCUGGAGAAGGUGAUAAUCUGUGUAAUGAUGCUGAUCCUAACAUCACUGAUUCAUAUAGAUUGGCACACCAUAUUUUUUUUGAAAGAGAGAGAUUGGCUCACUAUAUUUUGAAUUCUGGAUUUAGGAUUGUAAUAAGGAAUGAGUUUUCUCUCGUACAUCUUUGAGAUUUCAUUAAUCAUUUUUUUUUGCAGUGCUACUCUCAGUCUGUUUGAAGUUCCCAUUAACUGCCGAUUUUGAACAGUAAGCAUUCAUCCUAGGUGCUAAUUUUAUUACACUGCACUGCAAACUCUUUCAAUAGCUCUUUCAAUAGCUGAAUGCUUUGUAGGAAUAAUGUCGCAUUAGAUUUUUCUCAUUUCAUUUUUGAAUUUUUUUUGUUUAGUAGCUAAUGAUGAAUUGAUCAAAUCUGAAGAGAGAACUGUGGCAUGGCACUGAUGUUUUCUUGGUUGCAGAUCCUGCUUUAGCAAAAAGCAGUUGGUGUCGCCAUUUCAGUAUAAGGGAUUCGAUUUGGUCGAUUUAUGCUCAGCUUUUUCCUGGUACUGGCAGAAGCUGCCUGAACCCCAAAGUAUGGAGCAUGGAUUAUGCUGCUGCUUACCAUCAUUUCUCUACUGUAUAACCCUGUAAAGCAGCUCAAAUCAAUCAAUUUUGCAUUGCAGCAGUUGAGGGCAUUCUCCUUUUUCCUGGAACCGAUGCCUUCGAGUUCAAGGUGAUCAUCAUGUCCCAAUUCCAGAAGGCGAUCUCAUGAUUCUACAACCAAAACGAUGACUGCUGUCGGAGAUCAUAUGGAGAAUCAUGUCAGGUAACUCGUUUUUUUUUUCAAAGCCACACUAAGGUGUGUAUUGUCCCUAAUUCCUUGCCUUGUCAUCUUCUCUAUUUGUAGUAAAAUAAUCAAUCUUUACUCUGCCAGUCGCCAUGGCAACUAGUGGAGUGAUCAAUGAUAAGGAAGGUGAUUAGCCUACCACCAAAGAACAAAAAGAAGACGCAAAAGAUGACAAGCACAAGAGUUCAUUUUAACACCCCUAGUUGCACCCUUUUUGUCUCUGUCCAACAAGCUGCCCACAUCUCCACAGCACUUUUCCAGUUACAGAAAAGGGCAAAGAGUCGCUUCCCUUUUCCAAUGCAGAUUCUUCCUUUCACUAUCAACCAUUAUAUCAUUCAUCCAUGGAAGAAACUCCGCCUAGAUCAAUGCAUUAAAAAUUACUACACAUAUUCUGAUUCUGAUGCUCAUAAUAGGUAGGCCUAAGCACAAACUGCCUGCCAUCACCAUUGCUGCUUAAAGAAGACACGAUGCAAAGAUGAUAGACACACACACUAGCUGGCUAGCUGCUAUGGUAGCUAGAGAGAGUAGCUAGAUUACCCAAUCACAAAAGCAAAAAACACCUACAUUUUUCUUAAAAUUGUUAGCCUAGUUGUACUAUCUACCAUGCCCUGUUUGUUUCUGCUAAUAGCUGCUGCAAACUCCGAUCAGCUUCAGCGAUGGCUGCACAGGUCAGACAGCAUCUUCCUGCCUUCCACAAUCUCAUCAAAGAAGUCAUCCAGUUCGCCGACGACACUCUCCGCACCUGACUGCAGCACCCCAACCCAGCCUUUGAUGAUCUCCACCCUCUCGGCGAUCUCACCGGGGUCGGCAUACCCUGUGGCGAUGACCCUGUCGAACUCUGCCUUGAGGCUCUCGAUGCCGGCCCUGGCCUGCCGGAACUCGUACAUCAUGACGCCAGAGCCAGAGUGCUGCCCGGCUACUGCCUCCAUCUCCUCGGCGACGCGCUGGCGCAGGCGCCCCAUGGAGGAGACGUAGCCAGCACCCGUGGCACGGAACAUGGGCGCACAGCCAAGGUCCGGGAGGCAGGAGACCGUCCCAGAGAUGAGGAUCAUGAGGAGGAAGGAGCUGGCGUUGCGCAGCGCGUAGAGCACGCCCCGGAAACCGUUGAAGGCGUUGAGCUUGAACUCCACGGGCGACCGGUCGUCGAGCAGCAGCGACGCUGGGUCGAUCCUAGCCUCCGCAAGCGCCCGGUUCUCCUGCUCCAGCCCAACAGCCUGCCGCCUUGGCGCGUUGAUCGCACGCAUCACCUGCCAGCCAGUAGGUGUCAAUGAUGUGAUCAGAAUCAGAUAUAUUCAGAUCAAUAGAGGCAGGGGGGGAUCGUCGAUCGGACUGUACCUGACGGGCUGUGUGUGGGUUGGGGCUGCAGAGCCAGUCGUCGAAGGCGGCAUCGAUGCGGGUGGCGGAAGCGCAGUAGGUGUCCAGCGCGGUGGCGCCGGCCUUGACGACCUGGCAGGCCUCCCAUAGCCGGGAGGUCUCGUCCAUGUACUCGUCCAGCCAGCUCUCACCGGGCGGCAGGUGGAGCCGCUGCACCAGGUGGACGAGCUGCGAAUGCAGGGACCGGAGCAGCGCCGCUGCCUGUUGGAGGAACGGCGCCGACACGAACGCGCCCUCCGGCGACGAUGACGAGGCGGCCAGCGUGCCGUGGAGUUCGUCCAGGCCGUGCGCGAUGGAGGAGUAGAAUCCGUUCAUGGCGACUCUAUUUGUUGUAUAACUGGGAGCAGCAGAGCAGAGCAAAGAUCGAGAUGAGAAGAGAGUGUGGUGCAUGGGAGUGGAGGCUCUGCGCUGAGCUGGAACAGAGACUCUCGGUCAGCUUAUAUAGAGGAAGACUAGAAGACUGGACUUAGAGUGAGGGCAGUGAGUUGUACUAUGGGGAAGCAAUGAUGGUUUGUCCGGCGGUCAGGGGGAAGGAUGAUUGGGGACUGGGCUGGGCAGCCAUUGCCAGGACUCCUGUAUGUGCUCCUCCUCUUCAUGACCAUUCUAAUGGCAUUGCCAAUGCUUGAGAGCUAGUCCUACUAGCAUGCAAUGGAAUGCAUGGGAAAAUGUACUUACUCAGCCUAGCUAGCUGCCACAGCCAUUUUAAUUUCCCCAUGAAUAUCCCACCAGUUAAUUUCCCCAUGAAUAUCCCCCCACUCCAGUACUCCUACUCCAAUUCUUGUCUUGAGUUGCAUACUGCUGGUCCAGAUUCAAGGGUAGGGACCAUUUGCCAUUGACAGUGUACUACUGGCGAUUGAUUAUGAAGUUGUUGGUGCUAAUCAAGGACUCACUAGUGCUACUACUACUUGAGCAGACAGCUGUCAUCUGCUGCUGCUGCUGCUUUCCAUAUUCUGAAUCCGGGUGGGAGGGAGGAAAAAGGAGGGGGGCCAAUGUGCCGGGCCUCUGCUGGGAGCACCAUCAAUAAGCAGCAAGGAAGCAAAGAGAAGCAAGCGCUGGCUGCACUGCACUCCCCUGUCUGGCCUUCCCAAUGCACUCAGCCACCUGUUAGUCCAGAAAGGAAACAUUUUUCCUGGAUACAUGAACUCUAUGGAGUAUAUUGACCAUUGCAGCCACUGUGGGUACUUCUUUGCAACAACAUAUAUAUAUAUAUAUAUAUAUAUAUAUAUAUAUAUAUAUAUAUAUAUAUAUAUAUAUAAUAUAUAUAGUAUGGCAGCUAGCUGCAAGCAAAUGUGUUUGUUUUCUUGUUCUUUUUUCUUUUGUGCAGGCCUGAAGAGGAGCUAGCUUCUUCUUCUUCGAGAUGCAUGGGAUGCGUUGCUGCAUGAGCCAAUAGGAGCAGAGGAGUAUGAGGACAAAGUUUCAAAGGUGGCAGGGAGUCCUAGAGAUGUGUCGACAAGGUGAGCUGUACUCUACUGCUUACUUGCCCGUGGAUUAGUGGGGCACUUAAUUUAAUUUGCUUGAAUUGAUGUUAGGAGGAAUGAUGGGUUUCCUUGUACCCGUACAAAUCUCUCAGUCCGCGGCCAACACAACCCCCAUGCUUCCAUGCAAUGCAAUGCCAAUGCAAUGGCUUGGCCGCCUUUUGAGGUCCUUCUCCCUCUCGCCCGGGCCUCCAGUCCGGCAAUCAUGCCCAAUAUAUGCUCUCGUGCCCCCUUCUUCUUCCUCUCCAUUAUGACUACUCCGUUUCUCUAGGGCACACGUCGGGCCCCGCAUGUCGGUCAAGCCCUUGAGAAACUCAUGACAGUCUUAAUUCCAACACACAACUUCUACAAAAAAAAAAUGUUUCUAUUGUGAUGAUACUGUGUAAAUUAAGAAGACUACAAAUUAGUCUGGAUUGACAACAUUUCUAACAUAGUCUAUGUUGCUUGUAAAACAUGCAUGCUUGUAGUAUACUAGUACUGCAUAUAUGCGGUGGCUUCAUUAUAGUAUUAGGAUUGUCUUUUUGGUCCAAUCCAAUUCAAACACCACAGCUUCAUCGGUGCAUGCAAUCCAUCUCGUGGCAAGUGCUAAACCCUUUUAAGAAAUGGAGCUCGUGGGGUUUUGGGAGGAGGCGAGGGGGAUGUGGAUUUGGUUGGGGAAAUCAAAGGGGAUGUGUGUUGUUUCCUUUGCCCUAACCAAGAACAAAGAUUAAUUAAGCUAAAUCUUACUCCAUGAUCCAUGCAUCAGCUAGGAGCUACCUUUGAAAUACUACUACUACUUGGCCAGCCGUGCCGUACAUGCUGCGUGGUUGACCGGUGGGGGUCCAAGCACCACUCAUCGGCCGGCCAUGAAUAUUCUUCUUGUCCUCUUCCUGCUCUCUCUCUCCAGUCCUAUAAUCCAUGCAUUCAUCUCACUAUGUAUAUAUAGGCUCAUUGCAAAUUAAACAGAUCAUAAAAAGCAAAGAUCAUCUGUUUUUUUUAUUUAGAUCAAGACGGUUCGACUCCCAUAAUUGAAUUAGAUGAAAAGACCAUCUGCUAAACGUUUGCCAAACAGAAGAACAUACAGUUCAUAUGCAAAACACUUUUAUUGUCGGAAAAAGCACAUUUUUUUGGUGUGUGUUCUAUCUAAUCAACUCUCUGUGUCUUAUGUGUUAUAUACUAUCUAAGUAAACUGUUUCCUGCAAAUUUUUCCGUGGCGCGGUCUCUAUUCCGCAUCCGCAAUAUAUCCUCUCAAUUUCUUCACAUAUAAAUUUCCAUGAAUUAAUUUGGUUUUCAUAGCAACGAGAUCCAAAAGGGCAUUAAUUAUCUGCCUGCCUGCCACAGUAAUUUUACUUCUUGGAUAUACACACAUAUAUAGUACACUUACUAUUGGCGACCUUGUCCUGGACGCAUAACUCCAUUGUUUGCUCGAACUUGUAAAACAGGUGGUCACGGAUAUAUCUACGUGGCACACGUAUGCAUGUCUAGUCCAAAUUAGCAUAUGGGUUGGCGGCAACAGCAUGCAUACAUGAAAGCAGCAACGGCUAGCUUUUAAUUUAGCAUGUCUGGUCAGUCACACACACACACACACACACACACACACACUAAUUUUCUCUCUUCUUUUUUCAAAAUUUGUACAGACAUUAUUAUGAAAAUUAGCAGUACUACACUGCCAGUACAGAGUACUACUGCUACUGCUAGGUCUCAUGAUCAAAGUUGCUAGCUUAGCUAGGUGUGCUGUAGAGCUGUAGGAGUGUAGUAGUAGCUUGCAAUGGUGUGGCUGCUGGCUUGACCAGAACUUUGAAAAAUGCAUGCAAUGCAUCUAUGCUUGGACAGCAGCAGUCUACUACUACAAGUACUUAUCACUCUACAUACAGUACACAGAACAGAGAUCAAAGUUGCUGCUGCUGUUGUUCUUCUGAAGCAGCAGCCAUGCAUGCAUAAGGCUGACAGACGGUGGUGUUCUGUAUUAUAGCGUAGCUGGUUCUCGUUUGAUUACUGCUGUCAAGAGAACCCCGUGCGAUGCUACGGAACAACGGAAAGUGUAUCAAGCACGAGCCGGUGGAGGCGAAGUCUGGACAUUGAUCAACCGGCGCUCCCCUUUGAGUUGAGAUCUGCAGGCGCCUCCUCAGCCUCGUCAACGACGGUGUGGUUCUCGCUUCCCAGCAGGGGUGGAGAUCUCCAGCGGGCUUCUGCUUCCCUGUCUCCGUCACGCCUUGUAUCCUCGAUGGGGGUCUCUGGGUCGGUGGUCAGGGGCCGGACGAAAUCCCUGCCCGGCUGCGUCCGGUGCCAACGACGGCGACGCCUACGGGCGCCUUUACCUCCUUGGAGGCGUGGUCGUGGCCCCUGACCAUUCCUUCUCCAUCCUCGGGCUCCAGGGGAAACCCUUGGUUCGGUUUGCCAUGGCUCCGAAUCAGGCAGCAGCAGCGACACCUUGGCAUCGUAUCCUCCUUGGAGGCACUGCUUUGGUAGCCCGUGGGAGUUCGAGUGUCGUGGCAUGAGAUGGCAGCCUCUCUAUUCUUGGCGGCGAGGCUUGGUGGUAGCGCGAAGCCGGUGUUGAUCCUCUGCUCUGGGCGUUGGACUUCAAGGCGCGAUGUUCGUCACUAUCGGUUCCCUAGAUGAUGCAUCCUUCCCAAUUCAGUCUGGUCCAUUCCUCUACUUGCCGACCGGGGCUUGAUCUGCUUCCAGAUUGGCCUCCCUUCUUAGGCGUAUUGUUGGGGGUUGGCCAGGGUGGUCUUGGUGUCAUGGUCGCAGAUUUGGGUGUCCUGCAGCUAUCGUGAAGCGGCCUUCAAGGUCUUGUGCUCUGCCUUCUUUGCCCUAGGGCUGGAGGUGGGCAAGGCGAGUCUCAUGUCAUUGUGGUUUGAAGCUUGGUGGUGUCUCUUUAACCUGCUCUGACCCCAAGUUGGCUCAAGAUCUGUUGGCUGUAGGUCUAGGCUAGCUAGGGCUCCGUCUUAGGUCGUCCGGAGAGGACGGUCAUGUUUUUUCUUGCUUGGCCUCGCCGUUGGCGGGUGCGGUGCAUAUGUUGUAAAUCUUGUAACUUUUGGUUACUCACGCUUCUUUGCGCUUUCUUCUUAAUGAAAAUGACAUGCUUCCAGGCGUGUUCGAGAAAAAAAAAUUAGAGUCUGUUUUGAGGAACAAAUUGGCAGUUAAAUGCUUGAAGUUCAGUUCAGUUUGCUGCUGGAAUAAAGAAGAAACAACAAUUUUGAAUUGCGAUGAGAUCUAUCGAAGAACACAGCUAGCUCAUAUAUAAUGCUCUCCAUGGAAUUUGGGGUGAAAAAGGGAAGGAAAGAAGAGGAAAGCUGAAAAGAGGCAACUAAAGGAGAUGCUAGUCAAGUGUUCUCCAAAUUUUGUGUUGAAUGGCGGCUAUAUUCAUGAGUAGCAGCAAGUAGCCUAACUAGUCAAGUGUCCUUGCUGUGAUGAAUUGAAGCAGGCAGGGCAGAGCAGAGCUGUGUGUCCUCCUAGAAGCUAUAGCUAGACCUGAAGAAAGUGCAUAUCCUCCUCUAUCACUUUUCUCACCGCCAAGUUGUAAAGGGGAGAAAGACAUGCAUGGAAACUGCAAAGUUGCCUCGCUUUUACAAACCAUUGCCUUUUUGCAGGAUCUGAUCUCUAUUUCCUUUCCUGUUACCUCUCCAUGCAGCUGCUAUGCUGCUAUAGUAGCGUAUGAUCUUGGCCAUCCAUGCAUUUCUCCGUCUUGUAGCUCGGCUCGGCUGCCUAAUUGCUGGCUAUGUUGGUUGCUUUCUGGAGACAGAGAGGGAGAAUAUGCUCCAUGUUGUCCAAAAGGGAAACGCAAAAUCAAUUGCAUCCACGGUGGUUCGUUUCUUUCCUUCUCCACACUGUCUUUCUGUCUUCUUUUCUUUCUCUCUUACGUUUGUAUUUCUGAAUGAAUUGGUUGUGGUUUUACAUGUAUGUUGAUUUUUGUUUUAAAGCGUUUGCACCAACAUAUAAUACAGGCAGUUUUUUUUACAGUGCAAGAAAAGGAGAAGGACAGAAAUGAAGGGAAGCUGUAUAACUUUAACACAGCUGCUAUACAACUAUACAAGAGAAGAAGCAGAGACUCUGACAUUGAACUUGAUCAUGGGCCAUUUGGAAUAUGCUCUGACAUGGAGGUGGUAAACAAGCUCAAUCGGUUUAUCAAAAACCAGCAAGGUACAAGCAAGGGUCCAGACACUGAAGAACUGAACAAAAAGCAAGAUAAACCAGGCGAGAGAACCGCCCAGCAAAGUUGCAGACGCUAAACUAUCAGAACAACUACAAGAGUCACAAAACAUCACGAUAAGAAACAGAAAGGCUCAUUUGUGUACUAAGAUGAUAUAACUUUGCAAUAAAAUUGGCUGUGCGCAUCGUUUCAUCGUUUCGAUGCAGAGGCCGGGAAGAACCCCUUUUCGAAAAAAAACGGUUCGUCCUUUUCCAAUGAGCGUUCUCUAGCAUGAAUUCGAAUGUAAUUCGUGCACGUAAAUGAGUGGAAAAAAGAAUGCUGUUGCAAGGGGUUGGAUCAUACUGUCUAGGAGAUCUUAUCUAAUGACAUACAAACAGGAGGCGCUCGUGGCCUAAUGGAUAAGGCAUUUGACUUCUAAUCAAAGGAUUGUGGGUUCGAGUCCCACCGAGCGUGUUCUUUUUUCUUAAAUUUUUUUCAUUCAUUAUGCUUCCCAUUGAAACUUAUUUUCUUCAGCGCAUGCUAUUCAUAAGUCGUCUAAAAAGGAAUUUUUUUUUGUGCCAAAUUUUAGCAGUAAUCUUGUUGUAGCAUCGGCAACCCCAAUCAUGAAAAUAUAAAUUCAUAGAAGUGCCAGCAUAAGAUAAGAUGCUAUUAAUUUGUCCAGCAACUGAACACAGACGCUAGAAAAAUUCAGAUCAGGAUUCCAAGAACAAUAAACUGGGUGCAGCGACCAGCAUUAAAGCUUAAAGCAAUAGGGAUUGUAAUCCAGGGGUCAUCAAACAUAGUAGCAUUGUCACUGACACCAAAAAGAAUGUAUAUAUGCUGGAGCCUUUCUCUAUGCCAAAAUGCUGUUUAUUAAUUGUCUCUAUGAUUGUCAACAGCUAGGGACUAUGCAUUGUAUUGCUUCCUAGAUCUUCUCUUGCUUUUCGCCUACGAGGGGGAGCAUCUCCAUCCGGCUUCUCGGGGUCCGCGGGCUCAGGGUGGCGCCUUGCUGGGAGAUGAGAUGCCUCACGUAGCCGUAGAAGGUGCAGCCGACGAGCGUGAUCCCGCACCCGACCGCGUUCAUGGCGGAGAUCGGGUUCCGGAAGAUCAUCCAGGAGAUAAGCACCGCAGCAGCUACCUACACAGACCCAUCAUGGUACCAUCAGUUUCCCAAUGCUGAACUUUGUUUGUUGGACUGAAGAAGCAGAGUGAAGAGGAAUGGGGAUAUCAGUGCUCUCACCUUGAGGUUGCCGGCCACGUUGAAGGUCACGGCGGUCGUCGAAUGGAUGACGUAGAAGAUGGAGAAGUUGAGGCAGAAGGCGAGAAUUCCUGAGGUGAUUAUGAUGAUCAGUGCAGGGACAGUUGACUCGUAUGUGUAUAGCCAGUUGAUCACGCCGCCCCCUUCGAGUACAAUCGCUGGUACUGACAGUAUCAUGGUGGCAAAGGGUGCCAUGUAGUACACCGUGUUAAUGCUGCAGAGAGAAAAAAGGAACAGAAAACACAGGUAACCAAGAGGAAAAAUAUGCAAUAUCGUAAUUGAUCGUGUAGGUACUAUGAAAAUAUGAAGAAAUUCUACAUAGCAUGAUGACAACAGAAGCGCUAUUACAUUAUCCAUGAAUAACUCUGUUAAGAACUAUUGUGAAUUAUCAGAUGACAAGAACUACUUCCCCUUUUAUUUUUACUUUUUCUUGUUGUGAAGCUCAAACAGAUGCUAUAAGAUCAUUUCCUCUGUAAACUGACUGGAUCACUGUUUACCUGUCAAAUUUGUAUCCAUGGAGUAGGGAUUCUGCCAAGAUGGUCUUUGUAGACGUGGCGAGGCAGCCAACCAUGGCGGCACAAAAACCAAACAUGUUGAAGCUAAGCUCAGUUACUGAAGUCAAGAGGAUUCCCCCCACAAUAGGAACCAAUGAAGCCCAUAUGCGCCACUCAAAGUAUUUCCUCCAGACCAACCACUGCAGGAUAACUGUUCUACAACGAAUCAGAAAAUGACGCAACAGCAAGUGCGAAAAAGGCGUCGUCCUCGAAGAUGAACAAAUCAGAGAACCUGUCGUUGCAGGAGUGAAGGAUUUGAUAGUCUGCAUGAAGGAGACUGGGAUGUACCGCAGGCUGACAUUUCCCAGCACGAUGUUUAUGCAGAACACAAAUGACAUGGGGAAUAUCCUUUUCCAGCGAUCCUCGGGGGCAACCUCGAUCAGCGGUUUUAUCUUGAGCAUUUUGAUUGCGAUGUAAGCUCCGAUGGAAGAGCAUAUGAAGUGGACGCACGACACGGUCAGAGGAAAUUUGAACUCCAGUUUCUGCAUCCCAAGAAAAAAAAAAUCAAGUUCAUGCUUUUCUGCUGAGGAGGCUGCAAUAGUGCCACUGCCAUGAACUAAUUGUCAGUUUAAACUUGAAAGCAAAAAAAUGUUCAUUCCAAGAGAAAGAUGGUGGCAGAAGCCCAUGAGAAACAUCAGUCAUAUCGACUCUUCUACAUGUCAUUUGCGAUUAAGUAUGUUCUCAAAUAUUAUGGUACUAGUCCACAAAAACAUAUUAGCACAUAAUCAAUGUUAACUCCGAAGUCUGAACCUUGGGACAUUUUUCAGCUCACUAACGAAAUGGCUCCCAUCUCCAAUCCAUUUUGCGGAUUGUAAUCUACAUUAAAACCAAUAAUUACCAUCCCAAAUAUUUCCAAUCCUUCAUGUUUCUGAUUCUUCUUCCCACAAAUAUCUUCGUCUUAACUCCAAACCUAAUCCUUUUGUGGAGAAACCUAAUUCCAACAAUUUACAGCCAUGAAAAAGGACAAUCCCUUCAUAUUCCUAACAACAUGAUAAAUCAAAAGCCAGCUAAUCUGCUCCCCUGAUUGCGCAGAUCAACCCAUAAACAUGAACAAAUCCUCCGGAAGACGAGGAAAUCGAGAAUAUAUAUUGAAAGAAAAGUUGUAAGCAGAAUGGGACGGAGGGAGAAGAGCGGCCGCGAGACGGACCUGGAAGAUCCAUUUGUUCAUGAUGAUGACGGUGACGUUGAAGCACCACCAUUGGAGGAUGGCCAGCACCGCCCUCACCGUCGCCACGUUCCCCAUCUUCCCUUCCUCCAUAUGCAGCGCACAAAAACAACAAAGAUCCCCUGGAUUCAAUUCCAAUCCCACUAAAAAAGAAACGCCUUUAAUUUCUUCCAGCCGGAGUCCAGGAGAGAAGAAAAAGGCAGAAAGAGACAGAUGCUGGAACGGCUGGCGUAUUUAUGUGUAAUUAAUCAGUGGAAAACUCCUCUUGAUGAUCCAUUUGUGGAAGGCAGCAGGCUGGCUUCUAGAAGACCAUGGUGGUUCUUCUAGAAGGUUCCAGAAGCCGUCAAGGCGUCAGGAGAAGAGGAGGAGGAGGAGCUAGAGGGGUUUCGCUUUCGGUCGUAGGAUUUGCAGGUUGUGGUUUUUAGGUUGAGAGUUCGAUUGGUGUGAUUCUUGCCUCUCAUAAUACGUGUUGCCACUCUUCUUCUUCUUCUUCUUCUUCUUCCUCCUUCUUCUUCUUCUUCUUCUUCUCUUCUUGUAUACGUCAGCCUAGCCAGCUCAGGCUUGGACACGUGUCACGUGGGACCGUCUCAGCCGAGCUUGGACACGUGUCAUUUAAAAACUGUUUAAUGGGUCGACAUAUGGGCCUCUCUAUGAGACUCCCCUGGGACCUCCAACCAAUCCCUGCAUCUGCACAGAACACACCAUUCUUCUGAUGAAAUCAACAGCAUUUCAAGCUCAGCUCACCCGUAGAAAAGCCAGCUUGCAGCAGCCUUCUUCCCCUUCACCACCAACAAUUAUUUUACAUUCCCAAUCACAAAUCGAUAACAGAAAGCACAAACAAGUAGCUAGUCAAACAUUGUUCUAAAAUAUAUGUUCUUCAUCAUCAUAGAUCAGAGGGAUAAAAACAACAGGUGAUGAAGCACAAAACGUUGUAAACAAAACAGCAUCAUUCGUUGCUUACAGCAAACACCGAAUUAACCUCCCUUCUCCACACAGAAAGGGAAACAUCAAAUGGAGUAAUAACGUUCCAUGCAGAAACAGCCAACAUAAACAGUCUUCAACAGGUAAGACUUGUCCCUGUAAAUGUCAACUGCACAACUGACUGGUUGAUUCAACCAGUCAUGUCAGGGUACUGUAUAUGGCCCCUUCAAAGAGGGGGCCGCCAAAAGGAUCAUCCUUUUUCUUCUUUGAAUGUAAGCUUGGCCAAGCAAAAUGUUGCGGAAGAUAUUCUGCUUAUUACGUCUCUUUGCCACCAACUAGCUAAGAAUCCGACUGACUGGCAUGCUUCAUGUUCUUAUGUCUCUUCAGGACAGACAACUCGUACUUUUGCAUCCCUUCCCUCGCCCUCCGUAGACUGCACGACGGGCAAUACCACUGGCCUUUCGGGAUGCAGGUGCGCUUCGGCGUCAUGCAGUAUAUGUGAUAAGCUUCGUCACAGCCGUCGCACAAGGCGAUAUCUUUGUCAUCCUUAUUCUUGAAGCAGCAUCUGCAGAGACAGGACGGGCAGUACCAGCAUCCGAGGUUUUUCUGCUUCUCAGACGCGAUCUGGCUUUCUCUGAGGCAUCGGAUGUGAUAGAAUUUGUAAGAGCAGUAAGGAUGACCACAUACCAAGAAUCGCCUGUCGUCGUCUUCGCAUGUGCCGCAGUGUUUGCACAGCUUUGCAAGGGCAGUUGUGCACAGGUCUGGCUCGUUGUCUUCCACCACGCAUGGCACGGAGCUCCCCUCUCUUUCAUCAGCUAACUCCAUUCCACUACCAAUUUCAGGCGGUUCUAUUUUCUCAAGGACUUCAAGCCUGGCACACAGAGGACAACCAACAUGCAAACUGUUCUUGUGAACAUUUUUCAUGAUGUCUGCAGCUGACCCCUUCCCCUUAUUGCUGCAGGCCGGGCAGUGCCAGGUUGCUGGGAUCUGUUUCAUAGCAGGAUGGAGUCGCUUGACACAGUCAAAGUGGUACGUGCUGUCACAUCCAUCACAGAUAAGUCUUUUUUCUUCUUCUGCACCGUCUCCACAUUGCUUGCAAGUGCAAAUUCGACGAAGUCCACCUGUCUCGGUUCGCUUUGGAAUUGUAGAAUGACCAGAAUCACAUGGGGAGAACUGCACGGUGGUAGUCGAACCCUUUGGGAUUUUGUGGACGACACCAACCAAGCUUGUUUCCUGGUGAAGAAUGCAAUUAGUAAAAGGUGUUAAUAGAGUGCAACAACAACAAAAAAUGACCAGCAGACUGUCUCCAAACACACCAAUUACCUCUAUCCGGCGCUCAGCAGCAUCCUCUGCUUCAGAAACUCCAGAAGUCUAUAAAGAAUAUAUCGUAAGCAAUGUGCAGUACCAGCAUAAAAGCCAACAAGUUAAAGACUCCACAAUAGCUUGAAGCAUGGUCGUGGAGAAAAUAACUACAAAUUUACCUGCUUCUGAUAAGAAGCUCGUGAAAUGAUUGGAAGAUUGCUUGCUAGACAUGUCAUCUCCCGGCCAACUCGUUCAAACUUCUCCCAUGUCUACAUCAGAAACAAAUAUCCAUACAGAUACAUGAAUAUGAUGACACUUUACUCAGAAUAUUGUUUGCCUGAAUGUUAUGCAACUUCAGGUGAAACAACAAUAGCAAGCAAGCAGUUUCAUUGAGCACUGCUCCUAUACUAGCUACAACAUGGAAUGUGCUACUUAGAAAACAUGAUUCAUCCUCCCUUGGGAGUCUCCUGGUUGGAUGAUUCAAACUGUUUGGAAGGCCAAGGCAGCUAAUGUGCAAUCAAAUGGUGCAAACAUAGGAACUAGUUUCAGAACAACAGUGUAUAAAGGGCUUUCUCUACUCUGCCAAGUAAAGUGAAGUUUAUGUAUCUAUACUAGAUAAAGCUCAAGAAUAAACAAGAAAGCAGUUAUUUUUUCCGAUGAUUGAGUAAAAUGGAGAUAAAGCUACCUGCUGGAUAUCUUUGUUGAACAACGCCGGAUUCUGUGCAUAACUUCCGUUUCUCAUGUUGGCGUCAAUUCUCCCCAAAUCAAUGACCUCAUGAACAUUAUUCACAUGGAAAGUUUCAACUAGCAGAUCACACAGCAGGGCAAAUUUCUCAGAGACUAAAAUGUCAAGGAGAGCACUGUUGCACAUUGCUGUGUUGGCAUCCAAAGAUGCUGCAGUUGCAUCUUUUAACGCAACAAAGGAACAAAUCUCUUUCGCAUCCGCCAGCCCAGUAGGAUGCUCAUCUGACGAAUCUUGGGCCUUCCCAAGGUCACCCUGGUAAUCACAGAAGUUCACCGUCAGUUUCAUAUCACAGUAUAACAAGGUUGCUCUUUUUAUUAAAUAGAUAUGAGAAAAGCAAAGAAGAUGAUGACUGACUUGUUGUUCAGAUUGGCAGCGGUUGUAUCUGAGAGCGUCACAGAUGCAGCUGUGAAUCCCACCGCCCUUAUUUAUACCUGGGGCUUGCAGGUAGCCCUCCAAUGUGUUCUUCCAAGUAAUCCAAUGCCUGGCCAGCAUUGGGUGCCCAUCUUGGCGAGAAUUGCCACCGUACAGCAUCAUGGCGGCACUAGACUGCACGGAAAUAAAGCAACCAAGCACAUUGGACACGGUUCGGUUAUGUAUUACAGUAUAAAAUAGGCAUCUCAGGAGUCAGGAGACAGAAUUCCUAGGAACAAGUAGCAGGAGCCGAGAUUCAGAGCAAUUCGAAAGAACAGAGUGAGCAAAUCUAGCCGCGUGAAAUGAAAUCUUGGCUGGAGUGCUUAUGGCACCAGGAAGCCAGAGAUGUCCCAGUUGCAACAGCGGAACACGGCGGCGGGCGGGCGGGGGGAAGAAAGAAUGGAAGACGGGGAGAGCAGGGGUUAGAUGCGAAAGCUUGGCUCACCUGUCCGGGGUCGGAGCUGGCGCCGCCGUCGGCGCGGGAGGCGGCGCGGCGGCGCUUGCGCGUGUAAGUGAGGACGCCGCCGCCGCUGCUUCCGCCGGGGGUCUCCGGGGCGCGGCGCUUGGGCGGGACCGGCGGCCGGCUGGCGCCGUCCUGGGAGGCGGACAUCUUGGCUCCCGUCCGGCGAGGCUACAGCAUGUGUUUUCCCCGGCGAAGAGCGGGGCCUAGACUGGGAACUCAGCGGGAGCGCAGCCGCGGCGGGGAGGACGGCCGAGGGGGCUGGUUUCUAGGGUUUGCGGAGGGGCGGUUUGCUGGGGAAGGAUUUGGGGAUUUGUGUGGGGAGCGAGGAGCGGGAGGAAGGAAGAAGAAGAGAUUUUGCGAAACGGAAACGGGGAAAGAAACGGAAACGCGGACGGACAGGCUGUGUGUGUGCUCGCCGUCACGGCUGCCUGCUUUCAACUCUCUCUCUUCCGUCUCCACCAAUUCAAAGUGCUCACGAAAUUGGCAGCGGACGUUCGUUUGGUAUGCUUAGGGGGCGACAUCCCCGGUGAGGAGAUAUACGGUGGAGGAUGAGGCGUUGGGUCGGUAGGCUUAGGGGUCCACGUCUCCGGUGAGGUUUGGUAGGAGGAGAUAUACGGCGGAGGGUUGGGUCGGCAUGCUUAGGGGGUGACAUCUUCGGCGUUGUUGGGGUAGUAGGAGGAGAAGGAAAGGGGGAAGGGGGAGGACGGCUGAUCGUGGUGACGGUGAGGUUGUAUGUAUAGGUGGCCAACUAAGCGGAAGGAUUCGAUUUUCGUUGGUGAGGAAAUGUCUUCCCGUGGCUGUGUAAGGAAGGAGAGGCCGUGUCAAUAGGAAAUGAGCGAGAAGAGGGGCAGGAGGAAGGAGAGGCGGCUGCAAGAGGGGAGGAGCGACGAGAGGCAGACAGGGAGAAAACCCUAAUAAGGCAACAGCUGUAGGGCUAAAUGGGCUAUAGUCCAUAGUUGGGUUGUGCUUUCGCUCUCUUCUUUUUUUCCUCAUGUUCCCCGUUGUUAUCCCAGGCCUUAAUCGCUCUCUUAUUUUUUUUUCCUUGUUGGCCCGUUCGGGCAGCCCAAGCACUGUAUACGCGAGUUGGGCACCGGGUGGAAACAAAAUGUCAUCCACUGCCCAAUGCCUUCCCAAACCUUAUAGGUCACUACGUAUUCAACACAAGUAAAGAACUUCGUACCAAACAUUCAUUUGGUAAUGCUUACGGACGAUCUCUUCUAGGAGGAUAUGUGCGGGACAGGAGAUGUCGAAGAGAAGGUAAGAUGGGAAGACAAAGGACCGCUGCCCUUGACAACGCGUUUGUACGUGUCAAACAGUAUUGAAACAAGUAGAUAACUUUGCACCAAACUCUUAGCUCGGUAAUGCUUAGAUGGCGAUGUCUUUUGUGCCGCUUCGGUAGGAGGAAAUGUGUGUAGAAGAGAAACCGAGGAGGAAGAAAAUAAGGGGAAGGAACGCAUGCAGCUGACCUUAACAAUGGCGAAGUCGAACGAAUCACUUGGUGUGGCCACAAGACGACGGCGUGGUCGAAUGGAGUGGCUGAUCCAAGCGGGCGGUGCCCCCACUUGACCACGGGACAACGCCGAUGGCUUGCGGGACGACGACGAUGUUAGAUCUAAGAAACGGUGUGGCGGCGGAUCUGAGAAGAAAGAGGCGGAGGGGAAAAGAGGGUUUGGGAGACUAACCAUACGUGGCUAUAAAUACAAUCGAUGAUGUCCUGGGAAAACAUGAGGCGCAAUUGCGGAGGCAAAUAAAUGUACUACAUAAAUGAGCCAAUUUUGUGAGGAAAUUUCUCUCUUUCAUAUCAGAAAGUCUGUAUGUACGACGAUUUCGUGUGAUCUACUCGCCGAUCCAUAAUAAAUGAGCGACACUUCUUAUGGAUCUGAGGGAGUACUAAAUUUCCUCAAGCCCAAGCCCAAGCCCAGAUGGCAAUGCUAGUAGUUUGUCUUUCAUAUAGCUUUGCUAGGCCAUCUGUAUACACGCUGAAAAAAAAAAUUGCAGGCCAUGCCAGCCAGCCUCACAAAGUCAGGUGACUUAAGUCAGAGAAUACUGGCUGGUGUCAGAUGGUAGCUAAUUCCAGUUAAAUGUUGUCAAUUUUCAAAGCAGAAGCAUGAAACUACAAAAAAUAGUGGCAAUACAGAUAUGCGUAUAGAAUAUUGAUUUGCUAUCUUUCUUUCUUUUUGCAAGGAAAGUGCCAUUCCCUUGCCUGAGGAUACUAUAUUUACCACUGCCGCGUCGUUUCUCCCCUCGGCGGCAGUGAGACAUCAUAUCAGAAGGCGCUGGAGACUACAUAGCCUGCCAACGAAGAACAUCACACAGCAUGAUCCAGCAACGGGCCGCUCGCUUUGCCUCUAAAUGAGGUUGUCAUCCCUUCGCCAAGCCUUUUACCUGAACAUGGUGUGCUCAUCCCGUUAGAUGAAGACCUCAAUCAAAUUGUGAACUGGACAGAUAAGAUGUUGGAUGAUGCAAGAUAUGACAAUUUUGAUGUGAAAAGGAAAGACCAAAUACUGGCAAGAUCUCUAUACGUGAUAUCAUAAUAGUCAAUAGAAGAUCAGCAUGAGUGGAAUCACAUAAGUAAUGUCAUAAAACUUAUCAUCAGGGCUUACUCUCUAUCAAGUCAAAAAAGGAAAAUUUGCAGUGGCUGGUAUAGUUUAAAACAUGGUGAAAAGGAAAAAUUGCAGCAGCGAGGUGCUAUGUAUUAGAGCUCUUUUACGGUACCCCGGAAUUAAUAUUGGCCAUCCAUUCACCCCAAUCUAAUGGCUAUUGUUAUCGGGUACUCCACCGAUGGUUCUCUGGAGUACUACCUCGAAAAGGCACGGAGUACCUUGUUACAAGGGGUAAAAUAGUAAUCAGAGACUUUCUUAUUUCUCAUUAGGGGCAAUCUCUGAGUUUUUCCUCGCAAUCAACAUGAAAACAUUCCCCGUGUGAAAAAAUUAUAACCCGAUGAACCCUAAUUCUAAACAGGUGAGACCAUCAUCCAUAGAUUCAAUCGUAGGUCUAAAAUAAAUCAAUGGUAGAGAUGUAUAAUUGAUCCAAGAAUCCACUAGGAGGCUGCACAAUUGAUCAAUCCAUACGUGCUGUCGCUGCUGUGAUCCAAGAAUCCACGAGGAGUCUGCACAAUUGAUUGAUCCAUACAUGUUGUCCUUGCUGUGAACAGCGCCAUCAGAAUCCCGGACAGCGCUGUGCAGCCUGUAGCGGGUGAGCGGCGCGUGCGAUCAAGAAUAAAAGUGAACCAUCGACGGCGGGCAGAUCUGGCGGCUAGACAGCGGCGUGACCGACGGGGGCUUGAUCGUUCGUCGCCUCGUCGGUGGCCAGACGCGAGGGCAGGGCCGCUCGAUCAGCACUGUUCAGUCAAAACAGCCCUUACAAAAUGUCCAAAUUACCCUCAUGUUUGGACGGCCAGAUUUAUUUGGUACUCCAAUCCAUGCCAAAGAGUACCAGGGUACCGUAAAAAAGCUCAUGUAUUAUUGGUAGCUGGCUUCAACAAGUCAUGACAACUUGAAAUUUAAAUACAGUGAAAACAUGUGGAACUUUGUCAGGAUCAGAAGACUUAUUCUUAACACCGUUCAUCAUGUUGAGAGCACAGGGUUUGCAUAAACAAAGCAAAAACGCGUAAACCUCAGCAACCUAACAACUAAGAACUCACUUGCUAUUAGUUUUAAUUUGGUAUGGUUUCGUAUAUGUUGGAAUGUUUGAUUUUGUUGGAAUUUCCAAAGUGAACUAAAUGACGUAAACAACAAGCCAGGCAACUGGAAUCUGCAAUCGACAAUGGCAGUAGAAAAGUGUAGUGAUAUAUGUAUGUACCUGGGAGAAGAUGAGCAGCCGGAACUGUUAUGGGUCACAGAGAACACAUUGGAGAGAGACUUUGUGAGGUAUGCAAAGUUUGGUAUCGGCGGCAACGCGGGCACACGCUCCCCUUUCCUCAGCAGCUCCUCCAAGUCGAGCCUUUGCAAAGUGAGUACAGACUUGUUGUCUCUCCAAACAAAGGCGAGCCGGCCAUCCUGGAGAGCAAAGAGUGACCCGGGCUUUGAGCCAGGGUACCUGAACCCAUACCCCGCUGCAAUGCCCUCCCCGGCAAAGCUUCUCGCAAUGUCCACACGGCGGGAAUCCUCGUCGGACUGCCAUGGAAAUGCCUCUGUCGAUGGCUCGCCCAUCCGCGCGAUAAACAUGGCCGACCCAUUGGGAUGCACGACAUAGUGUGUGCCCUCCAACACCUUGGUUGCGAUCAGCAUAAGCUUCCUCUCGCUGUCUUCCUCGUAGGAGAGGAGCAGGAAGAAGAGGGCCUUCCGUGGUUUGCGGUCAUCCUCCGGCCGCCCCGGUGGCCACCCGAAUGUGCCUCCCCACAGUCCGGCAUACUCCCGGCCGGGCACCGGCGCCUGUGUCGCCAGCUUGUAGAGCGCGAACCGGUUGCCAUGCAUGCUUGGCCACGCUCGGUAGGUCGACAGCCGCAGCUGGGCGCCCCGGAGGCUCAGGCCAACGCUCUUGCCGGCGCGCAAGAACUCGUCCAAUGCCAGAUGCUUGCUGCCUCCGAACUCUACCGUUGAAUUGGCCGACGCAGAGCGCGUCACCAUCUGCAGCAGCCCUUUCCUGACGAACCCGGCCAUCGCAGACAGGCUCCUCCGAAGGGGAACCUUAUCACCUGCAGCAUCGCCGUUCGUCGUCGGCGGCAUCUUCUUGGCUGCUUCCAGCAGCAGAGCCUCGAGCUCUGCCCGGCUCACCAUGCCGCCGCCGGACGACGACGAAUCCUUGUGCAGACGCAGCAUCGCCUCCCGGCGCGCGGCGAGCAAGGGGAGGUCCUCAUCGGAGCGCGCGAAGAGCGGCGCCGCGGCGAGGUCCGGCGGGAGCUUGACGCGGCAGGAGGCGACGAGCGCAUCGAGCAGGCCGCAGCGGUUACCGAAGGAGAGGCGGGAGAAGCUGGAGGAGGAAGAAGAGGGAGAAGGCGCGAGGGCCUCGAGGAGGAGGGCGUUGGUGUUGGGGUGGAGGGAGGAGAGGCGGCCGGGGAAGAGGGAUCCGGCGCCGUGGAGGAAGAGGAGCGCGGGGCGGCCAUGGGCGUCGGCGAGGAGCUCGAAGACGGGCGCCCAGCGGAGGCGCGGGGAGAGCUCCUGCGGGAUGGCGCGGAUGGCGACGAGGGAGAGGAACCCCGGGAGCGCCGCCACCAGGUUGCCCAGCUCCGGGUUCUGCUGCGCCCAGAGACCGCGGAGCGGGGCCGCGGAGUGGAGGAAGCGGCAGACGGUAAGAGAGGAGCCCCCGGCGGCGGCGCGCCAUGAGAGGAGGUGCGACGGCGGGGAAGAAGAAGGGAGCAGGCGGCGGCACUGCGCCAGCCAGGGCUUGUCGGCAGCGGAGAGGGCCGCGUGGAGGCGGCGGUCGGCGGCGGAGAGCGCCAGGAGGUCCCGCGGGCGGAGGUGGGCGGAGAUCAGGGCCAGCACGUCGUCCGGGAGCGCCAGGAUCAGCUCGCCCCCGGCCAUGGAGAUCGGGGUUGGGUGGGCCGUCUGCUUCCUUUCGCCUUUUUCUUUUCUUUUCUCAACCUCAAAAAAGUUCCAAGCUUUAUAAUCCUGCGAGAAGAAGACUGUGAAGAGUGACAAGCUCAGCCUGGUCUUUUUCCUCGGACGAUGAAGAAAUAUCUCUUUUUUUUUGCAUUUCGCUCUCGUGCUAUUCUCGCUGGCCACCUUGCUAAAAUAUCUCGAACCACUGUCUACACCAUUUUAUUACGCUUAUCGGUCUAUUUAUCUGCAGUUUCCUCCACAUUGCUCGACAUUGAUAAAUCACCUUCUCUAGUCACCUUCAUGCACCACAAGCUUCAGUGGAUUUACCAAUAAUUUCUUAACCCGAGUCUCUUUCGGACCCAAAAGGUGGACACACAAACUACGUGAUCAACAAGAAUGAUGUGAUACGAGGCAACAAGCAAGGAUCCGCGUCCGUUCAUGGGUUCGGAGUGUCAAAACUCAGCUCUAUGUUUCGUAGGAUUUUUACAGAAUUUCAAUCCUAGGAGUUUUUUUCUACAUGUAGCAUGGUUUCAGAACGAACAUGUUAGAUUUCUAAGAACUGUAUCCAAAUUGGCAUAAUUCAUAAGGAUUCUAAACAUCAGGUACGAGCUCAUUUAAAAUUAUUAAAGAAUAAAUAUGCAUGACAUUUCAAUCAUCUAUUUUCAUAUUCAUAUGAUUUCAAAAUCCUAUGAACCGAAUAAGCCCUAGGAUUACGACGUUGUCAAGGGUCAAGAAUGUAAAAAAGAAAAGUGUUAUAGAAGGGAAAAAAACGUCACCGUCAAAAAGAAUGAAUUAGUUUUGAUUUGGUCACAAGGUCUAGAAGAAGAAGAUGCUGCUUCUUGGUGGAUGUCAUGUCGACGUCAAGAUCACCUAUUGGCACAUUUCGUCCAGUCGUCGUUUGUAGUUUAUGUCCAGCGAAUUUGAGACCCGGUCAAACAGUGAACUCAUCAUCCUCGACGACUUUGACCAGGGUGGGUCCUUUGGGCCUUAAAAGACUCUCCUCGCUUUGGGCCCAUUAUAUUAGACAAGACCCCUUAUACAAAACAAGAGAGAGGCCAAGCCCAUGAGCAGAAGAACGCAACGGGCUGUGGGCCGGAAGCAGUAUCACCGUGGCAUCGAGAGCAGAUUACUUUUUAUUCGCUCAAACUAACAAUGAAACCUGCCCUAAAAAAAAACUAACAAUGAAUGAUCCCUAAAAAAAAAUUACCACUUGAAUGACAGGUCGUCCUCUACAAUUAUGGUUGUUUACAUGGCCUAAAUCAGCCAACUUUGUCUGACCACUCUGCUCUACGGUCGAAUCUAAGCUAGUAACUUAAUGGGCUUGUUUGGUCCUAAUCAUGGAAGAUGAUGAUUGGUCUAUGACAUAGAUACAGACUGGGACAGGGGCGCCAGACUCGUGCCUAAUCCUUCUUGUUUCAUCCAAGAAAAGUCUUAAGCCGUAUACACUGCCAGCCGGUACGCAUCGCAAUCUCAGGAUGACGCUCAAAUUGUCAAACCAGUUUGUCCUAAGAUGAGUUUUUUGUUUUGUUCAACGUAUAGCUGUAAUGGUCUGAUGGCAAAGAAUCUAACUGAAUGUAUAGCUGCAUGGUCUGAUGACAAAAGAGUACGCAUCUCAGAAAAAUGCGGGCAAGAACACAAGCAAAACCAAAGAUUAAUACGAUAACACACUGUACGAAAUUAACACUGGAUAGAGAUCGAAAAAUAACAAUCAAGAAAUACGUAAAUGUAACCCUGCAAAAGAAACAUAAAUGUACUGCAUAAUUACAGUACACAAUAAUACUUGUUGCAGCAAAACUCUGAUGAUCAUCAUCAUUUCUGAUUGUGAAGACGUCCUUUCAAUGAAAUUCAAUCAAGAAACCAAUUGCUUCAUUGCUCAUGAUAGCUACGAGUAGCUAGUAACGGCAUGAAAUCGAGAUCAUCUUAAUCUGUUUUGCAGCUGAUUGCAUGCUCCUCAUUUCUUGGCGGCGGCAUUGCUGGAGGAGGAAGAAGCUGAAGCAGAGGAGGUCCUCUGUUCGUCGACCUUGUGCACCACCUUGCUCCUGCCUCUGUGCGCCACCAACAUCUUCCUCAGCGCGCGCAUCAUCGCCACCAGCCCCGGCGCCCUUCUCCGGGACGAGCCGCUCCUCCUCGCCGCCGCGACCUGCAGCACCGCCACCUCGCGCUCCUCCUUCGCUGCCCGCCGCCGGCGGGAAAUGUCGAAGGACAGGUCGUCGUCGGCCAAGUCCUCCCUGCCGUCGUCGUUGAGGUCCUCCCACAGGCUGUCCAUCAUCUCCUCUUCUUCGUCCUCGGCUCCGGCGGGGGAGCAGAAAUUGGCGCGCCAUGGCGAUGCGGGAGCGGCGCUGGAGUCCGCGGCAGAGAAGCUGCGGCGGAUGGGCGACGACGAGAGCAGCCACGCCGGCGGCGGAGACGCGGACGCCCUGCUGUAAUUCCGGCGGUGGCUGUAGGUGCUGCUGCUGCAGCAGGCGGCGGCGAGGAGCUGAGGCGGCGGCGUGGGGAAGCUGAAGUCGUCGUCUUGCUCCGCCAUCGCCAUUGCCUAUUCUCUUCUCCCUUCUCUGCUCUGCUCUGUUCUGCUACUGCUGGAUUGCGUCUUGGUGGGGAAGAAGAUGCCAGUAGUGCUUCUGUUACCUAGCUACGUGUUGACUCUCAUCAAAUAAGGAGAGGAAGAUACCUCAAAAAAAAAAGUAGCUGGAGUUUGGUCCAACCGCAAGUAUUUUGAUUGAUGCUUGAUUGGUGGUCAAUCAAGGCAUUCCCUAUUGAUGCUGUAUCAGUAAUUUGUUUCAUGCGUACAAACUUUGAGCUAGAGUUGGCUCCAAGUUUUGCUUCAACGUUUGACCUCUUGAGCUGCACAUAUAUUCAGUUUACUACUCACCCCUUGUUUCCAACACGGCAUAAAAACUCAACUUAGGACAGUUCAUUUGAGCAUCAUCCUGAGAUUGCGAUGCAUACCGGCUGGCAGUGUACAGCUCAAGACUUUCUCUUGGACGAAAACAAGAAGAAUUAGGCACGACGAGUAUGAUGUCAAAAAAAUAAAACAAAAAAAUUAGGCACGAUUCCGGCCCCCGUGAUGUCUGUCAUAGACCACUGAUAUUCCAUGAUUAGGACCGAACCCAUUGUUAAAUUAGUACUAGAAGCUUAGGUUCGACCGUAAGAUUAAGAAGCAGAGUGGACAGACGAAGUUGGUUAAGUUAGGCCAUGUAAACGACGAUAAUUGCAGCGAGCAGGCUGUUCAUUAAUUAAUUAGCACAAAACAGGGUUCAAACGGUCCUUGAUACUUCUAUGUCUGAGGUCAACUGCCGUCUGUGUAGCACUUGACGACGGAUGAGAACAUGCCACUGGCUAAUUAAUUGGCAAACAGAUUGCCAUGACAUACAUUACCUAUCCGUCUAAAAUGUUGCAGCGAUCCAGUAAUUCCGGUGGCUGGUUGCUUCUUGUCUCUAAUUCUUUGUUUUGAUUUGAGAAAACCCAGCCGAAAUGCUGGGCUGGGCUGUAUCCAAAUUCAUGUUAAGGUUUUGGCCCACAAGUCCAUUACCAUCACAAACAAUUAGCUUCUCUGUCCGCUCAAAAAAAAAAAAAGCUUCUCUCGUCCUGUCUCGUGACUGUCCUCGACAUACAUACUUUAUCUUUUGUCUUCUUUGAAAGAAAGAAUGCACAUGUAUACUUAUUUUCAUUCCGUUUGUUGCAAGUAUACAUCGUUCGUCCUAGUAAUGCAUACUGCACGUUCCAGAGAAAUCAGGACACUUGGACCAUUGCUUGAGUAUCAUCACUGUCGGCUUGGUUAAACAUCCCAAUUCCCAAAAUAAAACCAUAACAGAUACAUGUCACCCUCCCCGUGGAUCGCACUAGCAAUGGCUAUGUUUCCAGGAGACAAUCACAGCAGAAAUUGGACCCAGCAAGGCAGCAAGGACGAUAAGAACCUGACACAAUAGAUAAGCGAUUGAUGGGAUGGAAACAAAAUUUAAGCAGCGGUGAGGCCUUUGCACAAAAUUUAAGCAGCAGCCAACCACCAAAGAAAACAUGGAGGAUGUCCGGAUCGUCUCCCGGCGCAUGAUCCGGCCGGAGCCGACGAGCACGCGGCGGCCGCCGGAGCUGGAGCCGGAGACGGUGAUCCACCUGACGCCAUGGGACCUCCAGAUGGUGACCGUGGAGCACAUCCAGAAGGGCAUCCUCCUGCCCAAGCAUCCACAGGGGCACAGCCAUGCCGUCGAACGGCUCGCGUCGUCCUUCGCGCUCGCUCUGGGACGCUUCUACCCCUUUGCCGGCCGGCUCACCGUCGAGGAGCUCCAGCAGGACGGCGGCAUCGCCAUGUCGCUGCGCUGCAGCGGCGAGGGCGCGGAGUUCGUCCACGCCGUGGCGCCCGGCGUCACCGUCGCCGACAUCACCUCGCCGGUGUACGUCCCGCCGGUGGUCUGGUCCUUCUUCCCGCUCGACGGGGUGCUCGGCUUGGACGCCGCCGUGGCCUCCCUACCGGUGCUGGCCGUGCAGGCCACCGAGCUCGACGACGGCGUCUUCCUCGCCAUGUCGCUCAACCACGGCGUCGCCGACGGCACCACCUUCUGGCACUUCUUCAACACCUGGUCCGAGAUCAGCCGCCGGAGCGGCAACCACGACGCCGCCGCCAUCGGCUGCGAGAUCGCCUCGCCGUUGCCGUUGCUCCAAAGGUGGUUCCCUGAAGGCUGCCCCAUCCCCAUCCCUCUGCCCUUCGACAAGCCGGAGGACAUUGUCGGCGACCAGCGUGCCAAGUACCCGUCGGUGCAGGAAUGCUUCUUCCGUUUCUCCGCGGAGAGCGUAAAGGAGCUCAAGGCGAAGGCGAACGCCGAGAUGGCUGGCGCCCCAGCCACCAUCUCCUCGCUACAAGCCCUCUUCGCGCACAUGUGGCGCGCCGUGUGCCGAGCCCGACGCCUCGCGCGAGACCAGGACGUGACGUACAUCAUCCUAGUCGGAUGUCGAGGCCGCUUGGAGAGCAUGCCAUCGGCCUACAUGGGCAAUGCCGUGUCGCUUAUCAUGGCGAGGUCGACUGCCGGCGAGAUCCUGGACAAGGGGCUGGGCUGGGCAGGAUGGCUCCUGAACCGGGCCGUGGCAUCGUUCAACAUGGCGAGCGCAACGGCUGAGACCGCGUCUUGGCCUCGGAACCCUGGCUUCGUGCGUCCUCUGGCGUCCGUGUUAGACGGUCAACCAAAGUUGUCCACGGGGAGCUCGCCACGGUUCGACAUCUACGGAAACGACUUCGGAUGGGGCAGCCCGGUGACCGUGCGGAGCGGCUCGGCGAACAAGGUGGACGGGAAGAUGACGGUGUAUGAGGGCGGCGAGGGUGCCGGUAGCAUGGCGCUGGAGGUGUGCCUUGCUCCGGAGGCGCUCGCCAGGCUCGUCGCCGACCAAGAAUUCAUGGACGUGGUGAGCUCAACCAAGGAGUGAUCAAUGAUCAAUCGAGCUCCUUUUCUUAACCACCGUGCCUAUGUUAAGUCUUAGAUCUGCAUCACUCAUCCUCUAUGAAAUUUAUGUAUUUGCCAAGAACCACUGGAAUGAUGAUAUUUUGCAGUACUAGUGAAGUGUCCAGAUGUUGGUUGCAGCCCACCAUUCAACAGAAAUCAAGCAAUCACAAGAAAGCUUAUCAAACAAUCAUCUGAUCAUGUAAAGCUUAAGGGAUUCAAUUUCACUCAAGAUCACACAAAGGAGUACAUACAACAUUAAUUAAUUGCAGGAUCUUCACCCUCGAGCAGUGAACAAGUAAAAAAACUAUCAUCCCCAACAUGUUUCCAUUCCGUGUAGAAGCUAAUUAAGCAGCGAAGUACCAUCCCCAACCCCUCCAUUAAUCUUACAAGGUACUGAGGUGUAAUCACUGAGAACCUGCUGAUCCUUCCAUCUCAUUUUGCUUUGCUUUGUGUAGACCAACGAUCCAAGACCAGCAGCACUAGUGGAUGAACAAUCGUAGUAGCUAGUUUCUUUAUGUGAUGAUAAAAAGACCGUCUAGACUAGCCGUGGUAGUAUUACAUUACAGACGUAUUACAGGGAGAAUCAAAGAAGAGAAGAUUUCUGGUCAGACCUCGAAGUGCUCCAUCUGCACGUCGGAGGCCUUGAGCGGGACGUAGUCGCCGAGGUAGACCUCGAGGUGGUCGGAGAUGUUGCUCUUGUCGAUGCUCUCAUGGUGGUAGCUCUUGCAGACAAGGUACACCACCGUCUGCACCACCAGUGCGACCAUGACGACGGCGCAGAGCAGGGCCAGCAACGCGAGGCCCAGGAGCAGCCUGGCGCCGGCGCCGAUGCCGUGGCGCGCGCCCUGCACGACCCACGCCCUGAACGCUAGCUCGACGACGAUGAAGACGAGGUUGAGCGUGAAGAAGAUGGCGGAGGCGGUGCGGAGCUUCCCUUUGAUGAGGUCCUUGCUCUUGCGCAUGGCGUGGAAUCCCUUGUAGUCCUCGAGCACGGAGACGACGCUGGCGAGGUGCCAGAUGACGCCGAGGUAGACGAGCCCGGCGACGUAUGCGGCGAGGAUGGGGAAGAAGACGACCGCGGCGAGGCCGGAGCCGUUCUCGGUGGCGACGAGCAGCGCGAGGAAGACGGCGACGGCGGCGAGGUUGUAUACGGCGAGCAGCGCGAAGGCGGCGAGGAAGGUGGCCGCGAGCCGGCGCCAGACCCUGGGCACGACGGAGAGCACCCUGGGGAACGUGAGAGCGUCGUACUUCGCGGAGUAGACGGAGGCGACGGAGAAGACGGCGGCGGCGGUGGAGAGGAGGGAGAGGAGGAGGAGAGCGAGGAGGUAUGCGGACUUGAAGAGGACGAGCGCCGACCAGUCGGCGGCGAGGCGGCGGAGGAUCCGGUCCUGCGAGGCGGUCCCCGGGGAGGAGGAGUCGAGCGCCGUGUCGUCGGAGUCGAUGGUGGUGAAGAGCGCGUGGGAGAUGGCGAUGUGGGCGAGGAAGAGGGCCGAGAGCGGGAGCACGAAGGCGGCGGCGAUGCGGCCGUAGAGCGGGCGGUGCGCGCGCAGGAUGGCCACGGACUCACGCGCGAUCCCCACGGCGCCCAGGAACUGCAGCUCCUCCGGCUCGCACUCCAUGGGUUCCCGCGCCGCCGGUGAGGUGCUGGAGAUCUGGGGUUGAGCUAGGGAUUUGGACGGAGGGUGGGGAGCUCGUGAUUUGGGGAUUUUUUUUUGGUUCGGGGGAUUGGGGAAGAAGGAAGAAAGCUAAAGCUCAGCUAAGCUCGGGUUUGUUUGAUCGGGUCAAAGUCCGACCGGUCGCUUCCAGAAGCCGACCGACGAACCCGAUGACGCGUCUUCCUUUGCUUCCGCGAAAUGGCCGGCGUUGACCGUGGGCCAGGUUUCUGUUACACGGGCCGUCUCAGGGCAUGGAUGGGGGUAUUCCAUGCUCAGUGAAUGUCAUUCGGCCCUUACUGUAUCAGCUAUAAGCUAUAUAGGCCACCUUGGGCUCUGGAAGUUACUUUCUGUGUUUAUUGACUGGGGGCUAUCAGCCCAAACCAGAAUAAAUCAAAGCCUACUACUACUACUACUACUAGGCAAUUACAUGGGCCAAACGGAACUACUUUCUAUGCCAAUGUAACAACCUUGUCGUGCUUCUAAAAGAAAAACUUCUUGUACUACCUAAAACCGAAAUGUAAGGUUAAUGUUAUACGAGUCAUUUUAUUGUCGGCUCAAUGGUGAAGACUUGCUAAAGAGUCACAGUGUCAAAAAAAUAAAAUGACAUAUCAAUUCGCUUGUGGAUCGGAGUGGCAUGUUUGUUUCACUUGAGUCCAAAAAAACUCAGCAAGGAUUUCAAAGGUAGUAGUUCGGCCGUCCAAAAAAAAUAAGAAAAAUCCUAUGACUUAAAAAAGUUCAAAAAUAUAAAAACUGGUAGGAUUGAGAUCAGGCGACGUACGAUUUAUACGUUACAUCACCGGAGCCACUUCCAAACCACUACUCGGCCACCUAAAAAUCCAUAUUUCAUAAGACAAAAAUCUUACCAGCAAAGCUAACUUUUAAAUUAACAGGGGGAAGACGGUGACCUGCCCACUAUGGCAGUGUGCCAUUGUGCUUCUACACAUCGAUGAAUGGACACGAACACGACGCACGUCCACGUCAUCACUCAUCUACUCAUUAAUCAGUUUAAAAUUGAAUUCGCAAGUUUAACUCACAGAUUUCAAAUUCAAAAUUGAAUUUGCAAAUUUAACUCACAGAUUUCAAAUUGAAACCCAGAGACUAUAGUACUACUACUCUAGAGCUCACGUGGGCGAGAAGAAGAAGAGGAGAGCCCCCCCCCCCCCCCCCCGCGCCCGCGCCGGAAGGAAACCUAUAAAAAAAUCGCGUCUUUUUCUUCCGCCUCGAUCGGCAUCUCCUCCCUCCGCCGCGCGCGUGACGCGAGGAGAGGAUCCAUUAAUUCAGCCGGACAGCCAUGGCGCACGCCGCCCCCGUGUGCGCGCGGCUGCCCCCAUGGCGCGUCCUCCUCCUCCUCCUCGCCCUGCUCGCCUUCUCCUGCUUCGCCCUCACGCGCUUCCCCGCCGCCGGGGCCCCGCUCGCCGCCCUCAUCGCCGCCUCUUCUCCGGCCGCCGGCGGAAGCGGCAGGGAGAGCUGCGCCGGGUUCUACCGCGGCGAGGGCGCGGGCGGGAGGCGAGCGGCGUCGGCGUCGGUGGAGGAGUUCGGGGCCGUGGGCGACGGGGUCACGUCCAACACGGCGGCGUUCCGGCGCGCCGUGGCGGCGCUCGAGCAGAGGGCCGCCGCGGCCGGCGGUGGGGCUAUGCUGGAGGUGCCUCCUGGGAGGUGGCUAACCGGCAGCUUCAACCUCACCAGCCGCUUCACGCUCUUCCUGCACCACGGCGCCGUCAUCCUCGGCUCCCAGGUACGUACAUGAUCCAUCGUCGAUCGUCCGCCAAUUCCUUUUCCUCUUCUUGUUCUGUUCCAUUUGAUUAAUUCCAAUCUACUUUUCUGCUGAUAUGGGAAAUUAUUGUUGAUUAGUUGGUGGGUGCGGACAAUUUUAUUUCACAACAAAAAAAUUGCACAAAGCUAAUUAAGCUUUCCUGUAGUGGAGAAAUUGGAGUUUCCGGUAUAUGUUCUUGUUUGGUUGGUUGGACGCUGAGAAAAUGUGCACAUAGCUGAGCUUUCCUGUAGUGCUGAAAGUUGGAAUUUUCUGUCCACGUUCUUGUUUGAUUGGACGCUGGCUCCGACGUUUGUGCUGUCACUUGACAGUGGCAAUUGAAAAAAAAGGAAAGUGGGAAGAGAUGCUGUGGUGGGUUUGGAAUCCUGCACACAUGCUUGGAUGGUUGUUGGUUUCUUCUUCCUUUUCUGACUUCUGCAGCUUGCCACAUGUUAUUGUUCGUUCUAACUAACUAAAUCACACUGUGUCAGAGCCUUUGCUUUGUCCUUACUUUUGCUUGGACUGGCCUGACUUGAUUCUACUACUAUACUGUACUUUGCUUGUAGUGCUGUCUCCUCUGCUCAUAUGCAGCUAGUUCUAAAAGGUUACAUAAACCUCUAAUUGUUUGGAGGUUUCUGCAGAAGCUAGUAAUACUAAUACCCACUUCUGGUGCAUGCAAAUGCAGUGGUCAAUUGGUCAUACUAAUAAUUUGAAGGAUUGCUACUAUGUGUGGAGAGUUUAUGGGAGAUGAAUUUGCUAAAAGGAAUCCCUCAUACAUAUAUAUUGUGGAUACUGUCUACUAGUACUUUUAUGUGAGGGGCGGCUUAGUACAAAGUUGCUGGGAAAGAAACCAUAAUUAAGAGCGUUAGCUAGGAGUUUGACAUUGUUGCCACAUGCACUUGCAAUGCAAUAAUCCACCGCCUUAUUAUUCUAGGACAAUCAUGGAGCUAGUCUUCAAGUCCAACAUGUUAACAGGGUGGAUAAUCUUCAAGGGGACCUAUCACCAGAUACGUUACCUAUCUUCAAGGGUGCAUCAAUCCCCAGAUUCGAGAUUUAAUAAUAUUCGUGUACUCGAAUUUAAGUAGAAGAAUCUCCAGUGUUGCAUAUGUUACUAUGCAGUACUUGUACAGGAUGAUUUAUGAACUGCAGAGUGUGUUUUUUACCGAAAAACUGCAGAGUGUUGACUGUGCUAUUGGACUGUGACUGUGAUGUGCAGGAUCCAGAAGAAUGGCCUCUCAUAGCGCCAUUGCCGUCCUACGGGCGCGGGAGGGAAAGAUUAGGGCCACGGCACAUUAGCCUAAUCCAUGGUGAAAACCUAGACGACGUUGUUAUCACAGGUACACAAACUGUUUUUAACAGUCUCCACUUUCAAGUUUUGGUCAGUAAAAUAAAAAAAAUAUUGCAUGCAAAUCAGAGAGCCAGUCGGUGGAUCAAUUUAAGCAUAAAUUCCAGUUUGACUGUACUUUUGAAUUGCUUGGCUUUGCGUGUCAGGUAGCAAUGGGACCAUAGAUGGCCAAGGCAGGAUGUGGUGGGAGCUAUGGUGGAACCGGACUUUGAACCACACCAGAGGUCAUCUUAUCGAGCUCGUGAACUCGACAAAUGUCAUGAUCUCCAAUGUCACUCUACGCAAUUCCCCGUUUUGGACGGUGCAUCCGGUCUACUGCAGGUAUCAGUUUUAUCAUGCUGAUACAUUGGGUUUAUACCACUUUUUUUUUUACCAAAUUGGAUUUAUACCACUUCAUUUCCUUGUAGAGAGCCAUUUUGAUUUAUUUUUUCUUAGUUGAAAACGAAUAUUUGGUGAUCACAGAAACGUGGUGAUAAAGGAUUUGACAAUACUAGCUCCCCUGAAUGCUCCCAACACCGAUGGCAUUGAUCCAGGUUUGUGCUCUUCAAUUGACAGCACUCUUCUCUCUCAGAUAUGCAAUUAAUUAACACUCCUGGAAAAAAAAUCUAGUUCUAAACAUGGCCCAUCACUGAUUUUCGUACUGCUUAAGAUGAUAUAAACAGUAGUCCUACAUGUUUUCCUUCCAAAGUACAAAAUUACAAUUUACAGUGGCUAUCUCUGUUCUUCAUACCUUACUACCCUCGUCCUAGAUGAUGAAUGAUGAUGACCCUUUUAUACUAAUUAACCACAGGCUGGCUUAAUUUUGCAAAGAUCUCAAACUAGUUUCUCUUGAUGAAACAAUUACAUGGCAGACUCAAGUUCAGACGUUUGCAUCGAGGACUGCUACAUCGAAAGCGGAGACGACCUGGUCGCCAUCAAGAGCGGGUGGGACCAGUACGGGAUAUCUGUGAACAAGCCCAGCACCAACAUCAUCAUCCAGCGUGUCUCCGGCACGACUCCGACGUGCUCAGGCGUCGGCAUCGGCAGCGAGAUGUCCGGCGGGGUAUCCGGGGUGCUCAUCCGGGACCUCCACGUGUGGAACUCGGCGUCGGCGGUCAGGAUCAAGACCGACGUCGGGCGCGGCGGGUUCGUCACCAAUGUCACCGUAGCCAACGUGACCAUGGAGAGAGUCAAGGUGCCGAUCAGGUUCAGCCGGGGCUCCGACGACCACUCUGAUGACAAGUAUGACAGAACGGCAUUGCCGACGAUCAGCGAUGUUCGGAUCGUCGACAUUGUUGGAGUCGACGUGCAGCGGGCCCCAAUUCUUGAGGCGGUGCAUGGUGCAGUUUACGAGGGAAUCUGCUUCAGGAAUGUGAGCCUGAGGCUGAGAGAAGAGGUCAGGAGGAGGCAUGCUGGGUGGCAGUGUGAGUCUGUGUAUGGGGAGGCUCAUGGGGUUUUCCCUGAGGCUUGUGAAGAGCUGAGGCACAAUGGAUCUUCUUCUUGGUGUGGCCUUUCAUGAGAGCUAUUGUACAUAACUUGUAGGGUUUUUCUUAUGAGCUGAGAUCGAGACGUGGGGUGCAUGUCUGUAUUUGUGCUAGAGAAGGAUAAGGGAUAGAGUUUACAGUGAGACUAAACAUUAGACAUGUCUUAUGGAGUGUAUGUAUUUUUGUGCCUAAAGAAAGAUAAUGGGGUAGAAUUUACAGUCCAGUCUCAACAUUUAGACAUGUAUUCUUCUGAGGGGUUUUCAGUCAUGCAGAGUAAAAGGAAAACGCUUCGCCUUUAUCUUUCCAACAAUGGAAAACCUGGUAGUCUAACCAUGCUGCUACAUUCCCUUUUUAUUUAAAGUUGUAUUAGUUUUAACCGAUGAAGGCAAUAUAGAUUUUCCGGAUCCAGAGAAACUUGAGGUCAAUGUUAUUUGACUUCUUCAUAUAGAAUUUUCCUUUUUAUUUCAAGUUUUAUUAUCUUUAGCGAUAAAGGCAAUCUGAAUUUUCCAGAUCGAAAAAUCAGCUUCUUCAUGUAGAAUACUCACCGUAUUUAUUACUAUAUUGCUUCAGGAGUAGCUAAAUUUAUUUCCCUAGAUGUCUUUAAUCAGGUUUAUAUGAGUGAUUUCUUAUCGUCUUCCCAGGCAGUUCCACCCAAAGGAAACAUUUCUCUACGGUUACAAGGUUUUCAUUUCAACGCCAUACACACGGUUUAACAGAGAACUACACGCAGAGGUUUCUCCUAUAGGGUCUCUAGCAUAAGCACCCACCCGUAUAAACAUGCUAAAAAGACCGAGGGAAAAACUAAACUACUUCAUUUCACAAUAUAGCUUACAUACGGUUUUCUCUUUCGGGAACCCCCGAAGGGUUCACAUAAAGAUAAAGAAAUUACCUUACUACUUUCCCAGUCUUAUGUUACAAAUGCCUUAAUUACACAAGCUUUAUUACAGUGGGAAGUGGUACUACUACUAGAGAACAGAUAGUUUUCUGGCUAGCUGCCCUGAACUACUUGCUGCUCUGAAGGCUUGUGUUGUGCUCGAUGAUUGUGUGUCCUCCAAUGCUGCAAAGAGCCUCCUUAUAUAGGCACCAUGGCUGGCUCAAAUAGUGCUCCCAUGCAUUAUUUACCUCACCUUUUUCCAUGUCCAUGAUGCACCUUCUUUAUAGCCUUUGGAUGCAUGCAUGCAUGGUGAUGAGGGUCUUUUGGCUGCCACUUCACUCUUUGGUUGCAUACGAACUCUCUCUCUCUAUAUAUUUAUAUAUAUGCAUAUCACUAUAUAUCUGUGAUUUGUGCACUUUUGGGGUCCCAUAUGCCUCAUCUGAUCUGCUACAGGAUGACCUUACCUUCGCGAGGAGAAAGUGAAUUAGCUAAAAAGUAAUGCGCUGCUCUUGAGAUCUAAAGUAAUUAGUGAAAAGUAUUCAAGUUGUUAAAGGAUCAUAGAGUGUGUGGUUUUCAUUCCUCUCCCAUGGGUUAAGAACUCUUUUCUUAUUCAUUGCUCUCUCAUCAAUGGUCCCACGUACAACUACACUGAUCAACCUACUGACAAAAGAUCCGUAAACGAAUUAACAUCAGCUAGGAAUAGCGGUCAAUUUGAAAGAGUAAAUGCACAUGUACCCUGCAGCGAGCUAGAAAGCCAUCUCACCAGAGCAGAACUGGUUCCCGGAUGGGUCGAUUGGUAAGUACUUUUUCAAGAACGAGGUCUUCACCCAGAUAUUGCCACAUAAGAAGACUUCUCCGCCUGUAUCAGAUUGUGCAGGAGAGUAAUGACGGUGGAUUUGAGGAACCACGACGAGCGGCAGCCCCGCUGCCGCCGUUUCCUUCCUUGGUGGUCACCUUUGCUUGCACGUUCAUGUAAAUCUGCAAAAACAGCCACCAAAUUCCCCAAUUCGAACCAAACUGUAAGACAAUGACAUAUUCUUUCCUUCCACAAUACCACACAGGAAUUCAGAGAAUCGCCAACCUGGAGGAACGAUUCCAACUCAAUCUCGCCGCCAUGGAAAUCCGAGAGAACGGGGACAGUGCGCCAUGCUGGACGAGAGGAGGCCACGUGCCGUUGCCUCGCGACGGUGGAGAUCCAUGGCGCCGCGCGUCGGGGGUCCAGCGUGCUGCUUGCUCCCGCGCCGUCGUUGGCGGACCCGCUGCUCCCGUGCCGUUGGAGGAAGGAGAGGGGGUGCGGAAGAAGAGAGGAGGAAGGAGAGGGGGCACGUGCGCCCGGCUCGAUCUGUCCGGAGGACUCGGCGCCGACGAAGGGAGGAAGGAGAUGGGGCGCGGAGGAAGAGAGGAGGAAGGAUAGGGGUGUGAGGAGGAAGGAGACGUUUGCACGCGGCGACGAUGGGAGUGACGACGCGAAGUUGGUUGGUUGUGACGGCUGGGCGGAGCCGCGGAGGGGAGAGGAGGAGGCGGGGUUUUUAUUGCGUACGGUGUCAAGGCAAAGCGGAGGGCGUUUUUUUUUCUCGGGUGGGGGCGGACCACAGACGCGGAGGCAGGUUUGACAGGAGACGAAAACGUGUAUGAAACGAACGGUCCGUAUUUUUUAAUAGUUAUUAUAGGUAUAGAUUUUACUCCCUCCGUCGGAGUACCGGGCAAACAGAAAACCUAGCACAGCCAGCACGUUCCAUUUUGGCCUUAUAUCGUAUCAGACACAAACUCUGGGCCUUAUACUGGCCCAAAAUCCGGCAACGGCCCAAACAAACAAAGGGCGGUCCAGGAGAAGAAGACGAGGCGAGCACGAACAAACGCUGCGACCUCUUCUCCCACCCCAAACGAGCAGAGAUGGCGGCGGCGGUCGGCGGCGCGGGCAAUGGAGCCGGCGAGGAGGCCGGCGGCGCGGAGUUCUACCUGCGCUACUACGUGGGGCACAAGGGCAAGUUCGGGCACGAGUUCCUCGAGUUCGAGUUCCGCCCCGACGGCAAGCUCCGCUACGCCAACAACUCCAACUACAAGAACGACACCAUGAUCCGCAAGGAGGUCUUCGUCUCCCCCUCCGUCCUCCGCGAGGCCAGGAGGAUCAUACAGGACUCUGAGGUCUUCAAUUCCUCUUCUUCCCAUAAUUAUUUUAUCUGUUGCGAGCGGAAACCUAGGGUUAGGGUUGGGUGCUGAAUCCUCUGCUUGGAUUGGUUUUGCCUGCAGAUCAUGAGGGAGGACGACAACAACUGGCCGGAGCCCGACCGGGUGGGCAGGCAGGAGCUCGAGAUUGUCAUGGGCAACGAGCACAUCUCCUUCACCACCUCCAAGAUCGGCUCCCUUGUUGACGUCCAGACCAGCAAGGACCCCGAGGGCCUCCGCAUCUUCUACUACCUCGUCCAGGUAAUUCCAUCCUAAUCCACCAUAUUUAUUCAUUCAUUGCUUGCUUUGUGCAUGGGGUGUGCUAUUACGCGCUAAUUGAUGGGUUGCCCAAAUUAUACAAUUGGAUAGAUAUGCGCUCUGGCUGGUACUUGCUAAACUAAGCAAAGCGCAAUUGCUGUAUGAUAUCAAUGGUAUUGUUUGGUUCAUGUUUGUUCGCCAGGGAGAGGUUCUGCUGGCUCCUUUGUAAGCUUGCUGAUAGAAGCACAUAGCUUAACUGUACAGUGGAAGUACAUUGCUUAAGUGUACAUAGCUCAUAUUUUUGACAUACUUCCUGCAGUUAUAAUAUCGCUUCUAUUCCAAGGGUAUUAAUUAAAAUUUGAUACAAACUCGGAAGCCCGUUUAUGGAUUCACCAUCAAUUUGUACUGCUGCUGAACAGCCCUUGUGCUGAACUCAUGCAUGGUAUACUGAGAUAUAUACUUAAUAAUCAAGAUAUAAUUGGCUUCGAGAACAUUGUGAUAAGUUUAUCUGUUUUAUUUUUCAUAGUAAUAUGUUAUGUGUAAGCUCUGGGUGGAGUGUAGCCAUGUCUUCAUUGGCGUUAUAUCUAAUUCAAGGUCAUUGAUUUUGAGAUAAAUGACUAGUCAAUUUUGAGCUUAGUUGUCAAAUUGUCUUCUUUUUAUUCAUAUUUUGCACCAUCAUGUCAGUUGCCAAAAGGGGGAAUCAAUUUCUUAUUAGCUUCUGAGCACCAGUUAUUAUAAGAAACUAGCGUGCCUGCUAUCUAAAGGAAGCAGAGCCACAAUCUACCUUUUGGUGUGUAGUGUCAACAAGCCAACAAGCUGAAAACUUAAGACACAAAAUGUCAGAAAAUACAACCUUAGAAUUUGUCAGUUUGACAUCUGUCAACAUCCUUUCUAUUCCUGAGUAUAUCCUCGGCUCUGGAUUGGCCAGUAAGCACCUGUAGGGAAGAUGUAAUAAAAGAAAUGAUAGAGGCUCAAAGAAAAGAAGUAGCGGACAAGAAAGGAAACAAGAGGAACUAUUCCCCAAAUUAGCAGGAUAUUUCUCGGCAGCCAUACAACUGAGCAGUCUGUAAUACUUUCAGAUAAGGUUUCAGCUUUGGAUGGCCAUAUACUUUUGUAUGCUGUAACACUAAGAGUUGUCAGGACUCUUACUGGAUGGCCUUAUACUUUUUUUUGUCUAAAUUAGCAUUUAGCACCUAAGGAAUACCAGGUCGAGUCAGAGACAACACACUGAUUAUAAUAUCCACCCCCUAUGUUGCACUGUAUAAAUAGCAAAAAAAAUGCUGUCUUGUUUCUAUGCAUGUGAUUUUAAAUUUUUGCAAGUAGAAGAACUGGAUCAGCACACUUUGCUUAAAAUUAAAAGCCCAGCUGUUUUGCCAAACAUAAGUGGUACAAUUUAGCUUUUAUGGUUGUCUGGUGACUUUGUUAAUUAGCAUCAGCACAUUCUGAAUUUAUUUCCCAUCAUCUCUACCUUGAAUCUUGCGAACUAUAUGCACGCAGUGUGGAAGGCAGAUUAAGAUGUUGUAAUAACACCAAGAGCCCUCUUAAAACCACCAAUUUCUUAGUAUUCCUAUUACCUAACAUGACAGACUAUUCCAGAUGUCAUCAGAAAUUUACUAUGUUGCUGUUCAUUAGUAUAAUAGAUGGAUGGAUCAGGGUUCAUUAGAAAUUCUGCAAGUUUUUGUCCUAAAGUUGACACCCUAUGAUAGGCUUAAUUGAGUUUAUGAUUGUCUAAAUGUUAUCUGUUUCUUGCAUGUUUCAUUACUAUUUUGGGGAUACUGUUGUUGUUUAGUAAAGAACCACUAGGUGUUGUUGUGUCUCACUGUCUCACUCUCAAGUUGACAGUAAGAUAUCAGCUGUAAAAAACAAGGAACCUUUAAGGGCACGUAAGUGGGAAAGUCUAACAUAGUAAGGCCUCUAUUUUGCCCCACUUCUAACGGCACUGAUUAUUUGUCUCUUCUACUUAAAGAAUUUGACCAAGAUAAUCUACCAUAGAUUUGUCAUUCAUCCUCAGUCUGCUGCUGCAUUUGCUUAGUGGACAAAUAAUGACAUGGACGUCUAAUGAUCUUCGUUUUGCCUCAGUUCUGACGGCAUUGUUUAUUUGAUUCUUGUGCUUAAAGAAUUUGACCAAACUCAUCUACCAUAGAUUUGUUAUUUCAUCCUCGGUCCUCUGUUAGGUUUGCUUAGUGGAUAAAUGCGAUGGACUACCAUUAAUAAACUCUUGACUACAUUUAAAAGAACUGUUAGUGGCAUGCACAUUCUAGUUAAAGUUUAAAGUGGGUGCACAAAAGCACGUGAUAAGCUGCUUGUGUUAACCCCACACCAAGAUUAUUGACUAAUUGAUUUAAUCUCUUCUCAGGAUAACUAGUAUUUUUUGUUAAGCACAGUACUGUGGAGUUGUAACUGGAAACUAUUCCUAACCUGUAUUAAUGUUUUUGUUUGCAGGACCUGAAGUGUUUUGUGUUUUCACUUAUCAACCUCCACUUUAAGAUCAAGCCUAUUCAAUCCUGAGCUUCUUUCUGUCUCCCAAUUGUGUUAUGGUACUGUUGAGUGUUAGAGAAUUCUGUAUUAUGUAACUUGCAACGAGUCGCUAGUGAUGCAGUUUGGGAUGUGUGUAGAACACCGGGGUGAUAUCUUGGCAUCACCAAAAGUUGUUGGAUUGUGCAAACUGCGAGUGCCCGUUACUCUAGUAGUGAUAUUUAUGAAUGUUUCUUUCCCACUGUCAUGUUCUUUUUAAAAAUAUCAGUGCAGCAUUACUUCCUACCACCUUUCUGGUUCAUGCUGAGCCUACUGCUGCCUUAUUGACAGUGCCCAUCACUAGUUUAUUGAUCCAUCAAGGCAACAUACAGAUCUCUUUGCCACUUCUGGUGCAAAUCAACAGGCUUCCAACUGUUUGGAGGACUGUACUUCCAAGUUUUUUACUGCUCCAGCAUCAGAGAUAAUCUUUGAUUCUCCACAAAUUCUUUCAUGGUUUGUGCCAGCAAAACUGACUGAUAAAAAGAGGCCACAGCCCACGAGGUACGAAUGGAAGGAACCUUUCGUUUUUUGCAAAGCAGAAUAGUGUGAUUAAAGGCUCCAUCGGUCCUAUGUAGCUAUCUUUAGCCUGUGAUUAAAGGCUCCAUCUUUAGCGUGAUUAGUGGCAUCUCAGAAGCACUGUUUGGUACACCGUACACCCUUCUUUUGGCUUUUGCUACAGCAGAGCUUUGCAUUACAUGGAGAGUUUACUUUCUUUUCAUGUAAAGAGGAUUUAUAGUGCAAAAGGAGUUGAUGUCCUGUGUCAUGCAGAUAUCUUCAUUCCCCUCUUGGAAGCAGUAAAACAUCUCUAGCAGUGGGCAACUUGUUGAAAGGGAAAUGCAAAAUCAUAGUAGUAGCUGGAAAAUUCAAGAGAUGAUUACGAAGCAGGAGGAGAAAUGAAAUAAUGCAAUGAACAGCACAAGGUGAUGGAAACAAACCUGCUUCAGGUGUACCCUGACCCUGUACAGAGGGAAACUAGCUAAUCUGCUUUUCGGUUUUAUCCCCACUAGUAGUCUAGUACUACUCCUAAAUGAUAAGAUCAGGAUGAGCAUGUUACUUCACUCAACACUGUGGCCUUUCCUUUCUUUCAAAAUCCAAAAUGGUCCAGACAGACAAGAUUCAUCAUCUCUGUGGCCCAAACCAAAUUUUAACGAAACAUCUCUUUCAUGUUGGUGCUACAUUGUCUUUUACUCUUUACCAAACGUCUUUACUGCUAGUAAAUUUCUACUUGCCAUUUUUAGCCAAAAGCACUUGGUUUUAUCUGUCAGUGUAUAUUGGCAGUGCAAUUGCCUGAUAACUGGGCAGGGUUUAGGGGAUUUCUUAUAGGACAAAAGAAUAGGUGCAGUUUGAUUUCUCCUAUGAUCCCUAUUUAACUACUGUAGUUAAAUAAACAUCCUGCCUGAUUCGAAAGCAUGAUGAUCAUUAGUUCGAAGGUGAUAUGUUCGGAAGUUUAACAUAUGUUCGAAGAUUUCUCCUAUGAUCCCUACUGCACCUAUACGUUCGAAGGUUUAAUAUAUGAACGCCCAAUCAUCUUCGUCUUCGCCGGUCUUUGCACAUAAGUUUGGCCCAACACUUUAUUAAGGUAUCUUUGGUUACGGUGGGAGCAGAGUAGAUAUGAACUUCAUAUACUGAAACGGAAGUAGCAGUAGUAGUAUCAUCAUCUUUGAGUGAGUGGAUGCAGUAAUAAAACUCCUUGGACUCGCAGUUCAACAAAUAUCAUCUUGAAUAUUACUAGCAGUAUUUAUACUAAGUUACACUGGAUUUGUUUCACAAAGAAAAGAAAAAAAAGUUACACUGGAUUUAAUUAGACAGCUGUAGUAAACGACGUAGCACGUGUCAUUACACGUGCGCUACACUAGUUACGUACAUCUGUAGAUACGUGUAUACAUGAUCGAAUACGUAUUUCGGUAGGUUCCCUGAAUACGUCUUCAAGACGUGAGAAGCAGAGAGCUCUGGUGCAGUAAUUCAGUUGGUGGUGUUGAGGAGGGCGAUGAUAUCGAGCGCGACGGAGCAGAGCUGCCCGAGCGCCGCCUCCCUGGUCGCCAGCUCCGCCGGGAACGUCGCCACCGGCGCCGGCGCCGGAGAAGACGACGACGACUGCCGCCGCUGCGCCCGGAAGAAGAGCGCCCGGCAGACCCUGGGGUACUCGGCGGCGGCGCUGACGUGCACGGCGGCGUAGUCAUAGUCCCGCUCCUCGAUGGACCCCCUCGCCGCCGCCAGCGCGUCCCUCGCCUCGCCGUACUUGCCCGCGCACGUCCGCAUCACCAUGGCCGCCGCCUGGGCAUCUCCCCCGGCGGCGCCGCCCUGCGCGGUUCCCGUGGUGUCGUUGGCGCCGACCCCGAGCGCGGCGGCGGAGGCGGAGGCGUUGGAUGCGGCGGCGGCGACGGCGAUGGCGGAGAGGCCCCGGAGGUCGGCGGUGGCGCUGCUGGGGUCGGCGGCCAGGGCGGACACGCAGAGGGAAGGGUACGUCGUCGAGUUGCAGGUCGCCCGGACUAGAGCUGCCGCCGCGGAUGGCGGCGCCAUGAUUGGGAUUGGGAGCACUGAUGGCGGAGCUGGCGAGAUUGGGGAUGGUCGUGGUGGUGGCGAGUGCUUGGUGGUGUGGCUGCCACCAUGGCUCCCGUGGUGGGAGGCCAUGGUGGUGCUGGGCGCGAGGAGGAAGACGACGACGAGCACGAGCUGGGUGGCGGCGUUCAUGAUCGCCAUUAAUUAAUCUAGUGGAUAAAUAUGGAUUACAGACUAUCAGUUUGCUGCUAGCUGUACGUGAGAUGGCUACUUGGUCUAGUGAGUGAGGACACUGAGGAGAGUGAUGAGCUUAGCUUGAUUAGCGAGCUCGAGCUUGAUGGGUUGUUUGGUGAUGGGAGAAGGGAAGGGAUGCGAUGGGGUUUUAUAGGAGGAGGAGGAGGAGGGGGGAUCAUGGAAGCUUAGCUGAUGGUUCCUUGAGGAGUGUAUAGUGUAGUCUGGGUCUGGUCAAGUCCAUAUAUGCGUAUAUGCACGUGGACUGUGGUUGCAUGCCAAAAUUGACUCCUAAUUAUCUUCUGCCUAAUUUAAUUGCACAAGUGGAGCUAGGCCAGGCAGCAGAAGUCCACGAUGCCAUAUGUGCUUUCGAUCUUUACUUCCUCGUAUGAUUUGCAAAUUGAAACGGCUUAUUUUCGUCACUGUAAAUUUUCGUGUUUUUCUCGUACGUUAUAUGUUUUUUCUCCCUUGCUAUUUUUGGAUCGUGUAGUGCGCGUGACCAUCUUUUAAAACAGGAUUAAUUGCACAAAUAAACGGACAAAGGUGGAGCCGACAUGCAAAAAAAAAUAUGAGUUGCCAGAGAUAAACGCGUACGUAGUCACAUCAGAGUUUGGAUUAUCGUUCAGGUGGUGGGUAUACUAUGUGGCAUUCGCGAUCGAGGUCACUAUUCAUGGCUUUAUCGACAAUUUAAAAUCGGAGGGAGAGUAUUAUAUAUAAUUACUUUGUCCUCGCCAACCUCCAAUGUUGCUCUUUGCCCCUAGCUGCUAUAGCAAAAUCCUGACUCCUCCUCCCUUGUUCAUAUAUAGCUCUCAUAUAUUUAUGUUGUAUAUGACAUGUGUGCAUUCGUCGUCGCUAGUGUAAGUGCACGUGUCAAUCUAUUGUACUCGACUACUCGGUGCUUGACCAAUGAUAACUCUGUUAAUAUGUGUUUUUACAUACAUGAAAUUUAUAUCGAUAGAUUCGUUCUUAAAAGUUCUUUCUAAUAAUCAUGAUUUUAUAUCAUAUACGUUACAUAUUAAUAGAGUAAUUUUUUAUCAAAGUCUUGUCUUAACGAAACAAAAUACGCCAAACUUUGUGAAAAAGAGGGAGUAAAUAAAUGGAAGUGCUUUAAAAACACACGAAUUAGUUGGUUGAAUUCGUCUCCGUGUUUCUCGUGUGGAUCGAACGCACACCCUCCUAGCUUAGCUACUAAUCUUAGCUUGGGUAGCACGUUAUAGGAAUUAAUUAACAAUGUCAGUGCGCUAUAUACACUCCAUGACGUAUAUUCAGUUUCAAGUUUUGGUAUACACAUUCAUGAAUAUCUGAUACGAGUGCGUGUGUGGUAGCAAAUUAAUCAAGCUAGCUCAGUGGGCUGAGAACUACUUUUGUUAAUUAGCUAAACGUGUUGACGACGGGUCGACAUUGCAUAGUGACUUGGUGAGUCAUGGGGCCAAGUAGGACGUGUUUGACUAUUGCAGUACUGCUGCUGUGCGCAUAUACGACGAGAAAUUACUAGGAACAAGAAGAAGGAAGUUGGCAGAAUCCGGCAGGGUUCCUCUAACUGCGACAAGGCCGGAGUGUCUAUCAUAUCAAGCUGGCCGUGUCAAUAGUCAAGGAGCUAUAUGAGUAGACAGUACACGCAAUGCACGUUCCACAUGAAAUAUCUCAUAUUUCCCCCUCUCUCUCGAACCUGCAUGCAUUCUGCUAUUGUCAGUGUUUAAAGUUUCGGAUCGAUGACUGCUUGCUGCUCCCUCCGAUUCUAAAUUGUUGUCGAAAUAUUUCAUGUAUGUAGACUUUUUUAAAAAUAGAUAUACAUCCAUAUUUUAGCAAAUUUGAAUCAGAAGUUAAUUAAGCUAGGCUUGCAGUUAACUAACUCAACUAGCUAAAAUCGACACGUACUCUACGCGUACACACACUUGUAAGAUUCUAGAGUAGAUGGUUAAUUAGAUUCACGUUCCAGUACGUUCGAUCGAGUACACGUUGAGUAUCUAGCUACUUUUGGACAGCCGCCGCUACUCGAUUUCGGUUCAUAAUCCACGGUGUACGUGCUGACAUAUACUGAUCGGGAAUUCUCCGUACGUAUCUGGUGGCUUCUGGACACAUUAGCCGCUCUACCUACCCACUUAUGUACUCUCUCCAUUCUAAAAUGUAAAAAGCAAAUAUUUUCUGUUAACUGUGAAAUUUUCUAAAGUUUGAUCAAUCUUUUGAUUAACAAAACAUAUGUAAGACGCAGAUGAUUAAAUUCAUUGUGAAAUAUAUUAUCAUAAUAUCUUAGUUUGAUACUGUAUACUUUGAUAGUACUAUUUUCAUAGUAUAUCAGUCUUACUUAUCGAAACUUGCGUGCAGCUAGCAGGUUGAUUAGAGGUGGCAUCCUUUCUCUCUCUCUGGAAAUGCAAGUUUGUACGUAUAUAAUGACUAAAGUACUAAAGUAUACAGAUACUUCAGGUAUUUAUCCAUAAAUUUGUCAAACUAAAGUACUACAGAUACAUAGCGAAAUCUGCACUAAUUCCUAGCUAGUAGCUAGGUUAAUUAAUUGCCAUUGCAAAAUUUGAUUUGGAUUUGAUAGUGCUCUCUUCUUUUUUCAGGUGGGCUAUGAAUAUGUGGGUGCAUUUUAGCUAGCUAGGUUUUCCCACUUAUGUUCCCCUUCCUAUCCUUUUACCUUCUCUUUUCAUCCUUUCCUUCACUUUUUUGCUCGAUCUUUUUGUGCAAGAUUAUACAGCCAUUAGUGUGCUAAGAUUUAGUCGACAUGUUCAUCACCAACUUAAUUCAGUAGUGGUCAUUACUGAUAUGAGCAUGCGUGCCUGUGAUAUAUACAUGCCACCGUGAAAACCACCCCAUCCAAUAAUCCACUUAUUGCAUGCUAACGCAAGAUGGCAUGCGGAUUUAGUCUACAUUUUUUACAAAGAAUAAAUCUUGCCUACCCUAAGUAUCUGGUGGUCUGAUUGACGAAGUUUCACUUCGGCAAUGCCCAUGUCGAGGGGCUUUGUGUUUAGGAAGAGCGACAUGCGUGUGUGUUGGCGAUCCCGUUGGCUAACAAGGACACAGGGUACACAAUUUACCUAGGUUCGGGGCCCUCGGAAGGUAAUACCCCUACAUUCUGCUUGUCAUCUUAUAUUGAUAAGUCGAUUACAAUGGAGCUGCGGAGGCUAGAUGCACAGAUUGGAUCUGACGAGUGCGUCUAGGCGGCUUCUAUGAGGGAUUUUGUCUCUCGGGGGAGAGAGUUGUGAGUUGUUCUCCUUGGCUCCCCCUUCCUGGUCCUUUAUAUAUGGAGGAGGUCAGGUCUCGGGUGAAGGCCAAGUCGGUCACAAAUAGAGAGAUAUAUUAUGUUUAAGCUUCCUUGUCUUGAGUCGCAAGAUUGGGCAUAUGGACUCCUGGAGUUGUAGUAUGCCUCCGAGUGGGCUUCAUGCUGGGCCGUAGUGGGUAUACCAAAGAUGGGGAUCCGGUGGAUCACUCCCACGUCACUGAUCGCCUCUAGAUUUUCUAUCUGAUAAAUCUCGUAAAUCAAGAAAUAUACAUUUGAUUUCUAUCACCAGCCGAAGGUUAACUCAGGUAUAUCCUUUUUACCAAGCGACUCAUAUAUAUAGUGAGAUCUAAUUAUCAAGGGGUGCCAACAGUAUUUCACAAUUUAUUUUAUAUGAGAGAAAAAAGAAAAGGAAAAUUACAUAGAUGACUCUUCCUUUGCGAAAAUAUGUGACUUUGUUGAGUGAGUACAACAGAUCGGAAAAUUUAAAUGACACCAAAGAUUUCUGAAUAAACUGAAAUUUACACAAAAACUUCAUAGUCAACUUCUAUAACCGCGCCAUUGACAUCUUGAUAUUUCUAAGAGUCUCUGGCAAUGAGACCACGGAAGACCAGACUUGCAAAACAUGGACAAAUUACCUCAUAGGUUUUGUAGAGCCGCAUGAGCCACCCACCCCAAUUGAUGAUAACCUAAUAUUGUUGAACGCGUUGUGGCUGGAGACACAUCCCUCGCGCAACAGGCUGUCAAACCGUUCCAUCAUCGCAGAAUCGACUAUGAAAAGGACUGAAAUUACGAGACAUGAGAUCCGCAAGCUCCAUAUAGUAGACCAUGAAAGUACUAGCAAGACAGAAACGGAGGGAGAACUUUAAUGUGCAACACCUGUUGUUGGGGUUUCACACCAAGAACACACAAAACGUUACAGCGAAGGUACCAAAACUAUAGCUAGGCAACACGAUUCGUGGUUUCCCUUACCUCCUGACCUAACACCGAAUAUGUUAUCAGAGGCGGAGGUUGGAACGGUGACCCUUUUUUUCUCCAGUGGCUAAAGUUUCUUGAAUCGACUUAACAAGCUAUAUAUAUUUUUUGAGCCAACCUAUAUUUUUUGUUGUUUCUGCAGACUACCAGGAGUACUUAUGACCAAUGCUAUUGGGCCGAGCCGUAUAUUAUGGGCACUACCGCACCGGCAGUAAUAGAUAGGUACUGGGCGGUAAUCCAGCCCACUAGAAUCGAUCGGCCCAGCAUCUCUAUUGCCCAUUCUCCUUUCUUCUCCACAUCCCCUCGAGUCUUCCGCGGAAGCGCGCCCCAUCCCCUCCAUUUUCCCGCCUUCUUCCCAAACCCUAGCCCUCAGCUCGCCUCGGAGGCGACUCGAUUCGGACGAAGAGGACGCCACCGGUGGGACGAUGCGGGGCGGCACGGUGCAGAUCAACUGGCACGACCAGCAGCCGGUGCUCACGCUCGAUUUCCACCCCGCCUCCCGCCGCCUCGCCACCGGCGGCGGUGACCACGACAUCAAGGUCCGCCAUUUCUGCCCCCCCUCCACCUCUCGUCACUUCGCUGCCCUGUUUCUUGCUGAUCUACGAGCUUCUGUUCGAUGGUUCGGGGUGGAUUAUGGGUGGGGUAAGUCCGUCAGCUUUAGGUAACCCCCUGAAAUUCAUGGCGUUUGGCUUUGCAGAUCUGGGCGAUAGCGUCGGACGAUUCGGACCAGAAGCUCCCGUCUGCUUCCUACGUGAGCAGCCUCUCGGCUCACAGCUCUGCCGUCAACGUUCUCCGCUUCUCGCCUUCCGGUAGGUGGCAAAGCAGUUUCAAAUCUAUUCCUUCUAUGUGAGCACAGCCAGUGCCGGUGUAUAUUUAGUUUUUUUCAUCUCCAAUUGAGCAAUUCUUCUGUAUACUAAGCUUUCUUUUUUUAAGUAAACACCCCAUUUUUUGUAUAUGCUUAAUUAACCCCAUAUUUUACAAUGGUUAUUUGCAGGCGAAAAUCUUGCAUCCGGUGCUGAUGGUAUGUUCAAUCUAGCGCUUGCCCCUUUUCCUUUCUCUGAGAAACAAAAGGCGCUAGUUCUGCUGAUUCAAUCAAGGAAGGGAUUUAUUGGUUGCUCUUGUUUGGAGCCAUUUGAAAUUAGAAAAACAAACUACUCCCUCCUUCCCAGUUUAUUUGUCGUUUUAGAAAAUUUUCGAAUACCAAGACGGUCAUGGCUGAGUGUAAACUGCUGACUGGAAAUUUAUUCCUGCACCGAAAAAUGCAUGGAUAUCCCGUCCGCCAGCUCACAGGUGAGCAUAUCACGGCGAUAAAAGCACACGGCGCGUCAUAGCUAUCCACGCGGAAGAAUAGAAUCGGUAGGAGAGAAGCCCAUUAAUUACGUCUUCAAUACCGACGUGCUCCUGGCCAACUGAAUGGGUGCUUUCCUAUUUUACUCUUUCUGUAAUAUAAAAAGCAUACAUGCAGCGCUUGAUUAGAUCUAAGACGACAUUUAAUUUGGAUUUUUUUAGAAAUCUAAGACAGCGUUUAAUUUGGGAUGGAGGGAGUAACAACGUAAACACUGUCACAGCAAUAUCUGCCUAUCACCAGUCUGUCAGGUUUCCAGCGGUCAGCAUGUUUGCUAUUAGUCAUUUAGUUCUGCUUAAAAGCAUGCUUGACAUACCAACUUGAGCAUUUACAUCUACUGUAGGAGUACAACUUCAAUGUAGUUAUUUGAUCGGGUGAAUUAUUUGUUCUGGUGACGUAAAUUGGCUUGUUUUGUAAUUGGUAGGUGGUGGUAUUACCCUGUGGAAAUUGCAUACAACUGAUGAUGGGGAGGCAUGGAAAGUUCACAGAUCGUUAUUGUGAGAAUACCACCCGAACAUAGUAGUUGCUUGAAGCAGCCCACUGGUUUUGAUGCUUGCUAAAGUAACUUGUCCUUACUUGUUUGGUAGGUUCCAUCGUAAGGAUGUUCUUGACCUGCAGUGGUCAAGUGAUGGUUCAUUCCUUGUUUCUGCUUCAGUUGACAACAGCUGCAUAAUAUGGGAUGCUAAUAAAGGUAAAUCUAACUGGCAAUCGAAGUUUCCUUCAUUUUAACACGACGCAAGAAAAAGUUUCCUUCAUUUUGGCUUCUGUAUUAUAUGUUUGAUAUGCACCAUCAUUCUCAGGUGCGGUGCAACAGAUGUUGGAGGGCCAUUUGCAUUAUGUUCAGGGGGUGGCAUGGGAUCCUCUGGGCCAAUAUAUUGCUUCUUUGAGCUCUGACCGAACUUGUAAAAUAUAUGCAAAUAAGCCUCAAGGCAAAUCGAAGAAUGUGGAGAAGAUGAACUUUGUGUGCCAGCAUACGCUAGUGAAGGCUGAACAUCAAAGUCACGACGAGUCCAAGGUUUGUUUGAUGUACUUUAGCCUACAUAUUUUGGGUAUGCAUUCAACAAGUAGUGUAAUACUUUAUCUUGCAGCCACCGGUUAAAACUCAUAUGUUUCAUGAUGAGACAUUACCAUCUUUCUUCCGGAGGUUGGCAUGGUCACCUGAUGGGUCUUUUCUGGUACUGCCAGCAGGUACAAUUAUUUUACCAUUUGCAUAUAAUUACCUUAUCUUCAUCAUAUUCACUGGCAUUGUCAGUCAUACCCCAUUGACAAGCUUGCCUCUCUUUUCUAUCUCAACCAGGCCUAUGCAAAUACUCAUCCGAAGUGAUUAAUACUGCUUAUGUAAUAUCAAGAAGAGACCUGUCAAGGUAGCACAUCUAAUACUUGUAGUAACACCACUAUGUUCCUGCCAUUGAGUUCAGCUGGUACUUAUACCAAGUCACCAACACAAAAUGAAAACUGAAGCAUCACAUGAGCUCUAUCACUAAUUUGUUCCCAAACAUCCAAUGACCAGUAAAUGGGAAUAAGUUUUGUGGAUGCUUCCAAAACUUGUACACCCCUGGUGUUUCUGGAAAUUUAAAUAAACUUCAGUUUCUAGUGAAACAAGAAAUCAACUUCAUCUUAAACUCGGUUAUAGGAGGAAAGUUAUGUCCUAAGCUUUUGGAGGUCUUUGAUUUCUUAGUUGUGUUAGGAUGCUAAAAAUAAAUGUAUUGUUUUCUUAGAGAUGUGCUAAAUUCAUAACAUCUUAAGGCUUCAGCGGAUAACUAACUUGUUUGGCGCCACAGGCCUGCGAUACAACUCCCUGGUGCAAGUAAAGCUAUAGUAGCAGUUCGUUUUUGCCCUAUUCUUUUCAGCCUCCGUGGAUCUCAUUCAGGUAGUUCAAAUGCUUUGCACCAUUUGGAGAUUCUCACAGUUUAACUGGUCUAUUACAUUGAAACUGAACUACUAUAUCGCUGCAGAUGGUUUAUUCAAGCUUCCUUACAGAGCUGUUUUCGCUGUUGCUACACUGAACUCUCUUUAUGUCUAUGACACUGAAAGUGCUGCUCCAAUUCUAAUACACGCUGGUCUACAUUAUGCCGCAAUUACAGAUGUUUCAUGGUAAGUAGUUUUUCUUCUAAAGUCUUCUCUGUUGGCUGGAGAGGAAAUUCUUGUUUGUCAUUCAAAUCGGAGUUGAAAAAAUCAUCUUCAAUUUAUUCUACCAGGUCUUCUGAUGCAAAGUACCUGGCAUUGUCAUCACGAGAUGGCUACUGCACUAUUAUUGAGUUCGAGAAUGAGGAACUGGGGCAUCCACAUAUCCUCCCUGGUAUUUUCUAUCUAUUCCUUUAUACUAUGUCACUUCUCUGUCCUGUCUAUUCCUCUAUAUUGCUCUUGCCCCUUUCUUUGUACCAUGGUCCCAAUGCCUCAACAGUGCAUCUGAUCCUGUGAUACAACAUCCUGCAAUGCAUGGUUUAACACAGAGGUAGAGUAAUCGCAUGCUGAUAGAAGCUAUAAGUCUUACAAAGUGAUAAAGAAGUCAUUUUGAUGAGCUAACUGCAUAUGUUUUUUUUACACUGCUAUUAUUAAUCUGAGGAUGCGAUAGCAGCUAUACAUGCCACACCUUUACAAUGCGCACAUUGCACCAUUCAUAUAUUGUCAUGGUCUGUUCUGACAUAUUUACUUGAAGAUACUCUUCUGACGGUCCAAUUCUCUGAACAUCUCCAGGGAAAAAGGAAGUUCCAGAAGGAAAUGUCACAUGCAAAAACACAAAACCAUUAACAGUAGGCAGCAUGGAAGUUGAUGUUGGUACGAGCAAAGUUAAGACCGCAGCCUGCCCUGUGGAUAUUACGACACCUCCACCAGCAUUGGCCAAAAACAGCACAUUGGGUAAGCCUACUGAGGAGCAAUUUUACUCAUGUUGCAAUCAACGUAGUAGCUGAAGUAGUUAGGAUUAUGGUAUCCUCUGUAGUGACCAGAAAUACUGACAAUCACUUUUACAGUAGCCUAUAAGAAAUUUAGUUUCCACCUGUGUCUGCCUUCAGCUCUGGCCCCAGAAUCUUACUUUCUGACCAUGGCACACAUUGAAGCAACCAUAUAAAAUUAUAAACAGAUUUUUGUUAUAACAUGCAACCACGCCUCGUUAAUAGAACAGAAGUUGCUCAUACACAAUGUCAACAACAACAAUUAUACUCGAUCAAAUCAAAUGGGUCUCUGCUGUGCUUGUUUUAGUUACUGGAAAGUACUAUGCUCGCAUGAAAAACAGUUUAUGCAUCCGAGGACCAAGUACAGGUUAUGAUUAUAAAGAUUGUAUAAUAGCUGUGCAUAACAGGCAGUCACAAUCUGAAUCUGCAUGCUACAUAGCUUGGCUAUCUUUGUUCCUUUUAACAUGCAUUUUCCUCUAGUGACUGUUCUUAUUCUUCAAAAUUCUCAGGAACAAAGGAGGUUACUGAAGGAAAUGCGACCUGUGAACAGGCAAAGCCAUCAAAGGUAGACAGUAUGGAAGUUGAUGUUGGUGCCAGCAAUGCUAAGAUGGAAGCUAAUCCUGUGUCCGUAGAAGUGACACCACCACCUGCGUCAACUAAGAAUAGCACGUCGAGUAAGCCCAAUAAGAAGCGAAUUACUCCCAUUGCAAUUAACUAAGUAGCAGAAAUAGUUAGGAUCAUGAUAUCCUCUGUACUCUGUAGUGAUAACAAGUACUGGAAACUAUGUUUAGGCCACCCUGUAAAGAAAUGUAGCCCGCUGCUGUGUUCACCUCCCACAGUCCCACAUAUCCAUUUUCUACUCAUGAUAUGGAUCAAAUUAUAUGGAAAAGUCUAUGUUACCUAUGAACACAUUUUGUCGUGUAUUAAUUAGCAUGAAUCCAGAAACGCCCUUUUUAACAGUGCUCCUUUUUUGGUGCACAUUUUCGUUAAUGAAACCAUUUACAGGCAUAAAUUGUUCAUAUGCAACUGCUGGCAACUUUAAUUACAUAUUCCAUUCAAUCAGAUUGGGUCUGUGACGCCUUAUUUCAAUCACACGAAAGAAGAUACAAUCUUAUCAAAAUAAAUGCAUGCAGUGUUGGAUUUGGUCAUUUCCUCAAGCUGAAGUGUCCAGUGUAGGCCAACUUGGCAGCAGAUUCUGUGCGCCAUGGCUCCUCUUAGAACUUGGUAAUGCGCGUCUUUGAUUUACCGGAUACUUCUUCAUUAUCCGCCUCUUCAAAUCUGACAUCUUCAUCUUCUGAAAGUAUCUCGAUCUUCUUGCCGUCAGGCCCCUCAACAAUCUUCUCAUCAACAUGGAUGUGUCCUGUGACAUUGAUGAGCUCUGCCUUCUGCUCCUCUUUGCUCUCAUGUUUCUUGUGCCAGAACCAGGUGCUGUGAUAUGGUGCCAACCCUGCUGCUGCGUUGCUCGAUGCCUCGCCAACGGCUUCAGACUUCUUGACCGCCUCUUGGAACUUGACAUCCUCGUCAACUGUCAGCCUGACGACCUUGGAGUCCUCGGGUCCUGACAUGGUCGACUUGUGGACAUGGACAUGGUCGCUGAAGUUCAACACCUCGGCCUUCCUUUCUGUCUUCCUCCCCUUUUUCUUGUGCCAACAGAAGGCGGCGAGGCACGCCAGCAGGAGGAGGCCACCUAUUGAGACGAACACAACGAUGAUGACCAUGUGGUGUGGAGGGCUAGGUGGUGGUGGUGGCGGGCUGAUAGGUGGCGGUGGCGGGGCUAGUGGGUGCGGCGGCGGUGGUCUGAUGGGCGGUGAUGGUGGGGGUGGAGCACGGCGAGGCGGUGGCGGUGGUGAGGGCGGAGGCGGGGCACGGCGUGGCGGGGGUGGAGGCUGCGUAGGCGGAGGUGGCGCACGCCGAGGUGGGGGUGGCGGCUGAGGCGGAGGUGGGGCACGACGGGGUGGAGGGGGCUGAGUAGGCGGAGGUGGCGCACGGCGUGGAGGAGGGGGCUGAGUGGGUGGAGGUGGAGCACGGCGGGGAGGAGGUGGCUGCGUAGGCGGAGGUGGAGCACGGCGGGGAGGCGGUGGGGGUUGAACGGGCGGCGGUCGCGGUGGCGGCGGGGCUUGAGGGCGUGGUGGCAGCGGCCUAGGACCGAAAGGGUUCGGAGGAGCGUUAGUAUUCAGCGGUGAGUUGAACGGGAAGGGGAAGCCGAGGCCCGGCGGGUUAGGGUUGAAGGCCAUCGCCGGACGACCUUGCUAUCUAACAAUGCUCAAAGGAAAUGCUAGCUGCUGCUGCUGUAGGUGAGGCAAUGGCAGAUGAUGGAUGGAUGGAGUGAGCUGUGGUGGUGAGCAAGAGCAUGCAUGUGGUUAUAUAUGUAAGUAUGGGAGGGAAAGAGAAGGGACGAGGAGUGUGUUGUGGUUUGAAGAUUUGAGUGACUUGGCUGCCAUGCUACGGCUUUGAGCUGGGGUGGGGUACGUUGCUUCUAAACAAGGUACAAUCCUUCUGUUUCUUGGCAUCAAAGCCCAUGUAGCUGCCCGCCGCCCAUUCUACCCUGCUUUUUUUUUUUUUGCUACUUUGGUCAUCAUCCUAAGAUCCUAAUGAAAAUCCUACCUACAAGGCUACACAAGACGCCGAUAACUAUAUCAUUAUGGGUUCCUUCUCUUCAAAAUUUCGUGCCAUAUGGAUCAUCAUCAUCAUAACAAUUAUGAUCAUUACCUGUAAAAAAAAUUUUAUGAUCUACGUGGAUCGUUGGAUCACACGCAGACGCUGUUCUUGGAGGCCGUCCGAUCGAUCUGACGGACCAGCUGCAUAUGAGACAGUGAGAGUAUGAAAGAGUAUGGCUUGUAAGCGAUCGAGCAAAUCGCAUGUUGAGUGUGUUGCAAGGCCAUCUUCUUCCUUCCUUACCAAUUUCGUCCACAAAGGAGGAAAGGUGCCAUCAGCCAAAGGAUUUCAUCCACGAUUACAUUGCGAAAACGUCUUGUCGAUAAUAUCAGUCAGCACGUUUCGCUGCUGCUAUGCACUGCAGAUGAAACUGUCAGGGUGAUGCCGAUGGCGGUGACGUUUGGAUUCAGACGGGUUAACUGAAAUUAGUGGUGCUUUUUUUUUUUCUGAGAUCUCGUUUUGGUCGACAGAUUUACUUACUAAGGAGUAAACAGAGUGCAUUUACUCUGGUGUUUGUAUAGCCGAAGCUGAAGAAGCGCCAGCUAAGAACCAAGCAUUGCUCUUCUCUGUGAAUAGAUGUGGCGUCCGUGAUGACAUCGUCGAUCUUCAAACUUUAUGAAUCCACAUUUCGUCAGUACAUAAUGUCUAAGUAGGCGCAUGUGGUGAUGUGUGUCCAUGAGUUUUUUCUUUUCUUUUUUGAGAACAACGAUUUUGUCUUAUUUCAUAAAAGAAAGUAGGAGUACUACAGUAUAAUUUUUUGAGCGAAAAAAAAGAAAGUACAGUACAAUAGAGAAGGAAAAUAAAGAUAGCGGACAGCCCAACACAGUGACACAUAGGAUAGACUGCAUUUGCGGCCCAUUUAGCAUCAUCAUCCAAAUGAUCGAAAAGAGAGGGGUAGCACUGCCCUUUAGGCCCAGACCGAUUAUUUCCUUAUUGGGCCACCGCUUGUUUUGGACUUGUACAGUACGCUGAUAAGAUUGAUGAAAGGGCAAGUAUUGUUCUUAACCAUUUGACCCAUUAACACACGGUCCAGCCCAAUAAACCUGAAGAGAACAAAAAGGGGACAAUUUAAAGCAAGGUCCUUGGCCGGUUUGCAAUGAAUCGACCCCCCAAAAAGGACAAGUACCAUAUGGCCAAAGGAACAUGCAGUACAAUUAAAAGGCAGCCAUGGAGUUGUCCAAAGUCUUACCGGCCAUAUAUAUAGGAACAAAGAAAGGUAAUGCCGAUGUUACCAAUUCCAGGUGCUUGGGAAAGCAGAAAUAUAUGAUGUCAGUUCUUUUUUGUAGCAAAAUACACAGAUACAGUCCGGUAGUGCAGGAAUGAAUGCUAGGAUUGUGUGCAUCUUUAUUUCUGUCUUUUGAGCUUCUUUAGGCGAGGCCUGGUCAGGUUUCUAGUUUUUGCUUAGCUUUAUUCUUGAGUAUGUGCAUUUUUGGAGUCUCCAAAAUUAAAGGCCACCAAAAGGCACACUCUGCAUCUCAGCACAAUGAAUACUGGAAGGGAAGGGGAGCAUGUAUGUAAGUAUGUCCUUUCUGCCUCAGUUAGUUGUCUUCGAUCUUUAUGGGCAUGUUCUUAAUUCCUUCAUUUGUGAUGCUUCUAACUACUGCCUUUUCUCUCCUUUUACUAUAUCUGUCCACUAGAUCAAAGUACACUCGAUCUAAGAUAAAGUUAAAUGAGAAAUUAUCAUGCAUAUAUGUCCUAUAUGAUCGAGACGAAGAUCGAAUCCAAUUGAUGAGUGUACGUUGCUAGCUACAUUUAUAUUCGUGUGUACUUACGCCUCCGUUCCAUAAUUCUUGUCAAAAUCUUACAUGUAUGUAGACAUUUUUUAUGAAUAGAUACAUCAUUUUUGAUCACAUUUGAAACAAGAAUUAUGAAAAGGAUGGAGUAUUUGAUUGCUCUUCUCUCGAUCGCUUGUACACAUACAUGACUAAUAUACGUAGGUUAUAUGUACACGCAUGCAUGUUCCCUUUUCCAAAUUAGUGCACGAGAUGUACGUACGUUCGUUGGUAUGCAUGCAAUGUCGAGGAUCGAAAACAUGUGUGUCGGCCUGGCCUGUACGUGUCCAUGCAUGGCCGGCCGGACAACAAAAGGCUAGCUCAAGAAGAGGCAAAUUAAAGCAUGGGCUGCCGGCCUUUAACAGGCGGCCGUUGUUGGUGACAUAUAAUGCAUGCAUGCGACGACGAUGGAGACGAUGAGAAAGAUACAAACAUCCUAGUUUCCGCUGGGUCCCGCCCAUCUCACCACUCACUGUACCUGUGGGCCCCUUGUGUAUACCUCCCUCAAAUCGUGAUAUCCUACGACUUUUCAAGACCUACUAUUACUUGUUUCCAAAGAUGAGGAAAAAAAAGCUACAAAUUACAUACCCUUUUUCCAUCUUCCUCCCCUUUUAUUACACAUUUUUUUUCAUCUUCUCUUCCUCCGACCCCGGCCCCUCCACCCUUCAUCAUUACUAUUUUUUUCUUUCAUCUUUGUCCGUUUCUUCCUCUCCCCUUCGACCUUCUCUCGGGGGCGGAGGAGACCAGUAGAGUCCCUAGUCCGCCUAAGAUUUAGAAUUUCUACUUAAGCGCUUAAAUAUACAGCCCAUGCAUUUUCAUCAUAUAAACUAUAUUUUUAUGUUUUGCAUUCCAUAAUAAAUCAUCUCUUUCAUUAUGGCUCUUCCUAUAUUAUUUUUGUGCCUCCGCCCCUGCCUCUCCGGUCAGGAUUUUUCUAAAAAAAAAAAUCAAGUUUCAUCUUCCCUUCUGUCUCCUCCUCACAGACCUUGCACCAUGCCCAUAUAUAUCAUUAUCUAUUGUUCAAAGUUAAACCUCGAAAUAAUUUGGAGUCAUUCUCUAAGGAACAAAGUGAGUAUCAUCCUCGGAUAGUUGCUUCUUUCGGUUUGUUUUUCUGCACGUACCAUAGUACUACCAUGUACAUAUAAGCAUAUAUACGGUUGAGCAAGAGAUCUAUAUAUCUAUGCCGAGGUAAACUGAGAAGAAGGAUCUGUAUAUAUAUACGUGACCUGCUAGCUACCAACCUACCUAGAACAAUCAUGAAUCGUAGCUAGCUUAUCUCCUGUACAUUGCGGAUGCAUGGCCGGCCGGCACUGAUGGCGACUUCUCAACGCCGCUCACAUAUGAAUAUGAAAUUCAUGCAUGCCUGAUCGAUCCCCAACCAAUAAUGGUCUGGUCGAUCCAUCCAUCGGUCUCUGGCCGUAAAUUAAAUUAAAGUAAAGUUGCUGUAUUCGCAUUUGGGAGCACACGUAAUGUACCCAAGCUAGCUCUACAGUAUCGAUCGUUCGAAUUAUUGAAGAUCGAUGGAGCUAAAUGCUGCCGGCGCCGUACAUUACACUGUUCCCAGAUCCACCAAAUUGGUUAAAUAUGUCCAUAAAAGAUAGCUAGGGUAUAGUACGUUGACAUGUGACAGGCCAGCAUGCAUGUACUGUCCGUGCAUGCAAGCUUAGGUUGUCAUUCAUUGUAUUUAUUCGCAUUUUCUGCUACACUAUAUUUUAAAGCCUGAAAGGCAUCGUCGUCUUCAAUUAAUUCGAUCCAUCUGAAGAAGAAGAAGCUCAGAUAAAAACAAAAAGUUUCUACACAGUAUGUAGCUCGUCUCUAGCUAAAUCUGUACUGCAUCAAUCUUGGAUCUGAAGAAGAGAUAGAAACAAAAGUUUGUACACAGUAUAUAUACUAUAUAUAAAUUCAUGCAAUUCUCUUCUCUUUUUUUUUUUAUCGUUUGCGCCGGGUUUGGCGUUACCGAUGGAUCUAUCGAGCUAGCUGUAUAUAUAGCUUCACUGCUUCAGCAGGAUAACUAUUUACUUCCUCCGUUCAACAAAGGAUGUCUCAAUUUUGAUUAAAUUUGAAUGCAUCUAUACAUUAAGUCAUGUUUAGAUACAUGCAAAUUUUGACAAACUUGAAACAUCUUUUGUUGGACAGAGGGAGUACGUAGGUAUGAAAUGAAUGCAUCAAUUCAUAUAUGAACGUACUUUGGAUCGAUCGAUGAUGCAUUUCUGUUAAUUUGCAUGAUUGGCUCUCGUGUCAGUUCUGAGAUGAGUCAUUGCAGCCCUUCCGAUCCAUAGAUAGGUAGCUAGAUAACCUUUUAUAUAUGCAGCUCGAUAUAGAGAGGGAUCGAUCUAGAGAGAUAGAUAGAGAGAGAUGCCUGUCCUCUUGUGGACACUCUUGUGCUUCUCCUUUGCCUAUAGCUUGUUCGUCAGACCUUUCUUUCUUUUCCUUUUAUCGUCAAAAGUAUUUCAUGGACAGAGAAAGAAAGGGCCCAGCCAGCAGCCCCGGGGCUUUACAUACAUACAUAUAUGCAUGGACAUUUAUUAAUAGACAGAGAUGCUUUUUUCCUCCUUCUUGCUUCUACUUUGGUCUCUGUCUCACACACAUCAUAUGAUCAUCGCAGCAGGUUUUGCAUGCAGCCAGAGGCUGACCAUUUCAAGUACCAAAAAAGAAAAAAGUAGCUACAUCCAUACAUAUUCAGCUAACUUCCAUCUCUCUCAUACAUGCAUAAAAAAAACUGAUUUCAAGACAUGCCUUUUUCCAGGCAUUCAUUCUGUAGCUAGGUGCACAGUUUUCAGGUUAUCACAAGAUCCAAUUAAUGUAUGUCCUAAUUGAACCAGCUGCAUGCAUGUUUCAAUGAUUAAUUGGGCAAGAUCCUAGCUAUCAUGCAUCACCAUGCACAUGUAUAUGUCAUAUGUGCAUGCUCUUGAUCAUGUAUACAUGUUUGGGAGUCACUUUCAGACAUGAGAAGCAACAUCUCGCGCCAACUAUUUGCUUUUAGAAUCGGCUAGUAGUCUAUCCAUCAUUUGCUAACCAGUGCUGCAAGGGCCUACAAAAUCAAAUCUUUCUGCUCUAGCUGCUCGUGUAAUGCAUAUAUGCAUGUGCAUAUAUAUGUUGAACAGCAAGCAAAUAUUCUCUGGACCAAUUAACAUGCAUGCCCAUGUUCAACACAUGCGCAUUGUGUUCUUUUAAGGGAAAUUUUGAAGAUUGGCAUAGAAAACUGUUAUAGUUCAAAUACCUCUAUUUGGUUAUAGUGAUCAUAAAGCAGUACACUAUAAUUGUUGGCGAAUGCACACGACAGCUAGCUUAAUCAUCAGUUCAACAAUUAAUACUUUUUCCCGAUACCGGGCAAUAUAUUAAUGCAUUAGGCUGAUACAAAAUACUUAAGAUCGUUCGUGCAAUAAGAAAUUAGUUUGAGAUAUGAAACAUAUAAUAACCCUUUCCCUUAAUUUUGAUCGGCUCACAGUAGCUAGCUAGAUCUAUAAUCUUCAUAUAUGCUUGACACAUGUAACACACAUGUCGGAACAAAUUCUCUAACGAAUAUCUGGCCGGAUCUUGCAGCCUUUACACACAGAAACGGCUAGCAUGCAUGCCACACACGAUCGAUGAUCUGAAGACAGGCAGGCCGGACGACAGGCUAACAGGAGCUUGUAUUUUAUUGCUGUACACAUACGUAUGUGGAUGUGGAGACUGGAACAGUGUCUACUGAUGUGUGCUGCUACGUACUGCAGGGAUCAGAAACAUAAAUUUAACCCAAACUUGUAGAUAGGUGCACACAUACACUAUAUUACAAUGUCAGAAGCUAGCCAGGGUGGUAUAUUGUUUCUUAUUGAUCAUCCAGAUUUAUGAAUGGAUAUACAUACAUGCAUUUUUCCAGAUUUUUGUUGCUAGCAAGAGGCUAGCUAAUUAAGUCUUCAGUUUCUGUUUAGUACAAAUAAAAAAUUUAGGUCUGCAAAAUUAAUAUGAUCGAAAAACACCUUAAUUUUACCUAACAGUAAUGUGAACAUGUCGGUGCAGAUUAGUGACAUAGCUAGCAAUACCAGGUCAUCCAGUCAUUUAUUUUGAAAACAUGACUCGUUGUGCAUAUUCCAUAGUAUAAGCGUAAUGAUUACAUGGUGUGUUUAGUUAAACAAACGAUCGAUGGUUUUAUUUCUAUUGCAGAGAGUACACUACCUCUUAGGUUCGGCUCACCCUACUCUGUCAUCGAAAAUACCAUUCUAGUUAAAAUUAAUCCUUUUUCUUGAGCACAAGGACACCCUUAUUCUAAGUGAUAGCUUGAUCAUCGACAACAUGAAAAUAAAAUUAAACACUUCACUUAUCCAUAUAAAGGUGUGCAUGUAAACUAAGACUGUAAGAAAGUCACUAGCUAGGUUUGAUAAUAUAUAUGUUGGGGAAGUGCAAUAUUAACCACCACUUGGUCCAUGGCGAAUCAUUGGACUACCCUUCCGACCCUCUCCUUUUUCUCUCCCUCAAAAGUAGCCAAGGUCAAUGUCAUGUAAUCUCAUUCAUCUCAUAUCUUGAAUAAACUUCAAGAGGGGCUCUCAUCCCUCUCCUAUAUAGAGACCUUGUUAGGCUUGGAAGGAUCGAAGUCGAGAGCUUCAGGCCCUCCUCCUGAUUCCAGCUAGAGUCGAGAGCUUCAGGCCCUCCUCCCGAAUCCGACAUAAGAGUAGCCAGGUCAUGCUCCAUGAGGUGACCAAAACUAUUUAAAAGAUGUUCAUGUGCUGCUUUUGUCAAGUGUAUGAUGGUGUUCUAUGAUAAGGCCGACGUACGUACAUACCGCACUGAAACUUACAUCCUAGCUAGUCCAUCGGCAUGCACACCAUAAUUUUGUAAAACCUCCACAAUUUAGCAUUGCUCUAGCAACUAAAGAUAUAUUGGAGAAAUUGAGAAAAGGAAUACUAACCAUUAAUUGAAAUAUGCCAACAUAUAAGUUGCUCGAUCUCUUUCGUUCUGGUUCGAAUUAUAUCUAGAUUAAUUUGCAAUCUAGCAAAUUAAUAGUUCAUGGAUCUUAGUUAGAUAUACAUGAGAAAUGUAGUGCAACAUGGUUCCAUAACAUAGAGAAGAAAAUAUGCCGAUUAAACCUUAGUCUAGCUCUAUCAUGGUGGAUUGCAUAUAUGGUCUUGCCUCUUUUGGAUGAGCCAAAUUUGGAAAACAAAUCGGCCAACCUUUUUUUGUGCCGAAAUGGGAUGAACUACGAUAUUUAUAUGUUUUUAUGUACACAUUGUGAUAUAAUAUGGCAUAUGUCUGCCUUUUAAGGUGUAGAAUCUGCAUAUGUGCUUCACACAAGCAUACAUAUAGCUUGUGUCACAUGUCCAAAUUAACAUAUAGUCAAAGUUGUGUACUUGGUACGGUAUUGUGUUGCUAGCUGUACAUAUUCUCAGUUUGACGUUGAAAACUAACGAUUGCCAAGAUUUUGCUUAUGUUUGAUGGUCAAAUUGUGUGAUAGAUGUAUUUCUUUGGUGUGCAUUAAUAAUUGCAACUUCACCACACAAAAAAUAGUGUUGUUUUAAUGAAUGUGCCAGUACAAGACUGAUCUGCAAUAUUUCAUACAACUAAGCAACUUUGGAGAGGUUUACAAUAAUACAUAAGAUAAUAGUAUACUUACCAUGCAUCUAGCAGCUACAUAUACAUAAUCCUCAUUUGGCAAAAUUACAGGGCUUAACAUCACACACGCACGUACUCAGAAACCAAAUUAAUUAAUGAUCAUGUAUCAAACCAAUAUCUGAAGUGUAAUCUGAAAUGUUCUAAUUACUAUUAUAUUUUUUAAACUAUUUUCUACUCUAAAUAACCUAAUAUGACAUGUAAAAUUAAGCAUGCAUGGCUUAAACUAUGAUAUAGAAAGGGGGACUAUGAUAUAGAAAGGGGGACUUUACAAAUUAAUUAAUGUUUAUUCGAAUCAAUUUGAGGAAAUAAAAAAUUAAGCAACAACAACUUACAUUAUUAUCCAGAAUAACACAUGUAGUACAGCAAUCAUUCCAAACAAAUGCCAUAAUAUAAACUACUUUAUGUGAAACCAUUUUCUUCCCCAAAAUAGAUAGGUUGAUGUACCACUAGUAUUAACACUAAUGAAUCUCAAUUUACAUGAAAUACCACUCUGCGUGCACUUAAUCACAUCACAAACUUUCUUCAAUCCUGAAAUGUACAGCCCAAAAGAAACAAUGCACUUAAUCACAUCACAAACUUUCUUGUCAACUGCCCACCACAGGCAGAAACACAUGCAUCCCCAAGUCUCUAGGAAAAAUUGUCUCAAGAACGCACAAAUGCAAUUCAAUAAAAUGUGUCACCGGCAACAAAAAAAAGAGAGCAUAAACCAGAGAGUACAUGAACUGGAUCGAUCAAUGCGUACGUACGUGCAGCUUUUCAUAUUCAUAUUCCUGUCAGUGUGGUAUAAAUUAUGAGUAUAUAUACACUGUACUGCAGAGCUAGAGCUAGAGCUGUACAGUCUAUUUAAGUUUAGCUAGCUAGCUAGGUAGUAGUAGAUGGAUGAGAUGAGAUGAGAUGAGAUGAUGAGGUGGUCAUGGUCAGAGAAGGAAGGAAGGAAGGUACAGCUGCUAGCUAGCUUUUCUUCAAUGGCUGUCGUUGUUGGAUUUUGCAUCUCUUCAUCUCUUCUGAUCUCUCUGGGAACUCGAUCUCCAACGAGAUGAAACAAAGAAGGGCAGCUUUCUUUACUACUAGCUGGAUGAUGCAUGAAAUUCAGCACCUCGCCACUCAUGACUGACCAUGGCACUGAAUACCUUGCACCAAUAAUUCCAACCCCCUGUCUACCCCUACUACUCCUACUAGUAUUAUCUCAUCAAAGAACCUAGCUAUAUCAUGUAGAGAUAUGCCAACAUAUAUUAUUUUCUCUCAAAAUAACUGAUAGAGAGAGAUUGUUGGUUACUAGAGUAACUGAUAUGAUCUCAGCAUGACAGAGGCAGAGUGCAGGCAAGUAACUAACCAAAUAAAUGCAUGUGAGUCGUACUGGAGCAGGAGUAGUAGUCAACAUGCAUGCUUCUGCCCAAGCUAUCAUGCAGAGAUUUAUAUUUGUAUACACAGAGACUACUGUGUACUACAUGCAUGAUCUCCAAAGCAAAGAAACAAAGAAAAUGUUUUUUUUGUUCUUUUGUUCUGGGCCGGAGGUCAGCUUGAGAAAUGAAUUUCUUGGCAAAUGAAGACUCAUUCAGAAAAAUAUAAGUUGAAGUAAGAAGUGGUAGUACAAAAGUUGACCGUAAGAUUAAGUAAGAUGGACGAUGAUCACAUGGCAUGGCACAAACCCUAGCUAAUUAAUCUUAUUAAAAUAAUUAAAUUGUACUUAAUUAUCCAUCCUCAUAGGAAAACAUUGAUAUUGAUCGAUCAACAGCAGUACAUGAACAAACUCUCAAAGAAGAAGAGGAAGAAGAAAGAAGAAGGAACUAGCUAGGAGGAAAUUAAAUCAAAAUUACCUCUCUGCUGCUAGUCAUCAUCAUCAUAUAUUGAUUGAUCCAAGAACAUGCUUGCUAGUAGCUAGUUAAUCCAUGCAUCCGUCGCCUAUUAUAGAACACAGCCGAUUAAUUCUUCUUGUUCUUCCUCAGUGCAUCCCAUGGCUGCUCUGCCCGCCGCCGCUGAAGCCGAAGCCGAGCGCGCCGCCCAUGGAGGACGAGCUCGUGGACUCGGAGCUCGGCCCAUGCACUUCCCCCCUGGCCGCCGUGAGCCCCGCGGCCCAAUCCACCAUCGGCCCAGCCAGGAACGCCGCCGGCGGCCUGCUCGGCCCAGCUCCUGAUCCUGAUCCAUGAUACGCCGCCGCCGCCGUGGUGGUCGUCGUCCCCGGCGCCGGUGGCGACUGGAGGUCCUGGACCUGGCGCUUGAGGAACUUGAUGUACCUGAUGGCCUCGUCGAGCAUGGAGGCCGUGUCCAUCUUGGUGCCGCCGGGGACGAGCCGCUGCAGGAUCCGGAUCCGCUCGCUGAUCCGCUCCCGGCGGUGGCGCGCCGCCACGCUCUGCGGGUCCUCGCUGAUCCGCACGUUGCGGCGGCGGGGCUUCUUGAUGGUGGCCGGGUCGAUGUCCACCGGCUGCAUCGCCGCGAUCCGGUACAUCAUCUCCUUCAUCGCCCCAAGCUCCUCCUCCGCCUCCGCCGCCGUCAAUGCCUCCUCCGCCGCUCCCUGCUGCUGCUCUUGCUGCAGCGGCGGCGGCGGCGGCCUCAUCUGAAUCUCUUCUUGUUGGUGGUGGAAUUCGAGGCCAUGGAAGAAGUGGGGGGAGGAAGAAGAAGGGGAAGGGUCUGCUAGAUGGUGGUGGUGGUGGAGGUGGAAGGGUAUCAAUGGCUGCUGCGGCUGCGGAGGGGGAGCGGCGGCGGCGGAGGGGUGGUGGUCGAAGAGGAGAGGAUGGUGGUGGGUGCCGAGGCUCAUGUCGAGAUCCCACGAGCUCGCGCUGCUGCUCGAGUUCUGAUGAUGGGUGCUCAUGUUGUCCAUCUCACCGCCGCCCGGCCAAGCCCAAGCGAGACCGCCGGAGACGAAGAAGACGAACCCGAGCUCCUUCUCUGGAAUUACACUGGCUAGCUAGCUAACUAACUCCGGUGGAAGUGACUAGCUAGCUAGCGCUAUGAGAUCGAGAGGUAGAGAUGGAGAGAAAGAGAGAGCCCAUGAGUGGUCACAUAAGGGAAGGCUUUAUAGAGGAAUGGAGCAGAAGGCCUACAUAUACAUACCUAGUAGCUAGCUCGACCGAUUAAAUGUACUCUUACGUACUCAGCUCAGCUAUAGCUGAUAUGGUGAUGCUUUUGUGAGGUAAGCUACUAUAGAGCUAGAGGAAGCUAGAGAUGCAUGCCUAGGUAAAAAUAAAAUGAUGAGUGUGUCCGAAUGAAGGGGAGAAGGAUUUAUUGCAUGGUGCCGGGGAUCAAUCAUCACUCACGAUUUAUACGUACUCCCUCAGUCCUAUAUUAAGUGUCUCAAAUUUGUCCAAGUAUGGAUGUAUCUAUGCCUAGAAAGCGUCUAGAUACAUCUAAUAUUUGGACACUUAAUAUGGGACGGAGGGAGUAGUAGUUUUAAUUUUAUGCGGUAGUUGUUUCAUCUAUAUAUGUAAGCACUUUCAUCUACUAUAUAUGAAAUGGCUAUCUUUUGUAAAAAAAAAGUGUGAAAUGGGUCGCCUCACUGGACACAUUGCCCGACCCAAACAGACGAAUGCGGAUUGGGGCUAUUUUCUGUCCAGCCCACGAUCCAAACAGACCAAUACAACAACGAAAAGCGUUCUGUUUGGGUCGGCCUGAUGGAGUUGCCCUGAUGACCUAUACUAACUACAUGAGCACAUACCCUAAGUUAGGGAGAGAGAGAGUGGUGGGGUCAAGUUAUGUAUAUGUACUCAUGAAUGGAUAUGGAGGGGUUACUAAAUAUGGAAACCCGUUGUCAUGAGAGCAUAGAAAAGAAAAUCGUACCCAUGACAUGAUCAUGAUGGAGCUAGCUAUGCUCUAGGCAUAGGAAUAGGAGGAAGGAGGAAGAAAGAAAGAAAAAAGGGCAGCAGUACAGUAGAACGCAUGCAUAUGCAAGCUACUAGAGUGAUGCAUAUGCCACCGGCCCCCUCGUGAACGCCUGCAGCCUUUCGCGCAUCCCUAGGCCUCUCUCUCCUACUCCUUCCUUUGUUUUCUCUCUCCUCUCUGCCUUCCCUAUUCUUUCUUUUUUGGGUUAUUUCCCAUUCUCUUCUUCUUCUCUCAGGUCUUUACAUAAGUAUGAUACUCUAUCUUAUGGGUAUGUGUACACUUAUUCUGGAUCCUAGGGCCGUAGGAUUUUAUCGACCGAAGACGAAGACUGGUUUUUUAAUUCCAUUUUUUUCGAGCGAACAAAACUAUAUAAAUGUUUCCGACCGAAGAUGUAUUGUUUUCCGUUUGAAUUUUAGUUUCUUUAAUCGAAGCUAGCGAGAGAACCAUAUAGGUUUUGUGGAUUAUUCAUUUCAAGGAUAUGUUUCUUCUACCUCGCCCUGAGCUCUCCUCUAGGAGAAAACGAAGCUCAAUGCGUCUUAUGAUGCAGGUCUACCCUAGUUUUCCAGAUUUUCUCAUCAAAACUCUUCCCUUGACUUGUCACUUUCGCUCCAGUCGUGCCAUUGAUGAGUUGGAAGAGCG
rnacentral:lncRNA from 1 species